AAGGCUCGGGCAGGGGCGUCCAGGGGCCUUCCGCCCCUGAUCCCCUGCUAGCCCCUCCGGUGUUGUGGCCUUUGUUUCCGGGACUCUCGAGCCCAGCCCUGCCCAGCCCCAGCCGAAGUUGCUCUUUGAAUUUUGGGGGGGCGGUGUCUUGCCCUUAUCUCCCAUCCGGUCUUUUGCUUUUCAGUCUCUUGCCCCUCUGAAACAUUUAAUGAAAAGUUAAAAUACUGUACUAUCUACUGAGAGAAGAUGCUGGCAUCUUCUUUUCUUUCUAACCCUAGUUUAUUUGUUUUUUUUGGAUGUGGGUCCGCAGUUAGGACCGCAAAGGAUGUACGUGGUGGCUACGUUUUGGUAGUUGUAUCUCUGAGUCUGUCAGGGCCUCUGUAUAAACCGUGGGACAAAAGAAGACGUCCUAGAUGUUGUGUUUUUAGGCGAAUGAUUUUAAGUAAUUUUAGGUUUGAAAUGAAGAGUAAUUUGAACUAGUGGUGGAAAAAGCAAGGCCUGCAACACAGCCAUUGAGGUGUUUUAAGUCUUUUGAACUUGUCCGGGACUAGACUAUAACCAUACUUUAAAAGUGCUUUGAUAACAUUAAUCUAUCUCCAUUUACUCUUUUCCUUUUAAAGCUUUGUCAGUGAAGCAGUUUUCUUAAAUCUUUGACUUUAUGGUAUUUACAGUUAAGUGUCGUUAGUCGUGUUUCUCCUCAGGAUGUUAAAACUUUUUCUUUUAAGGCGCCUCUUUAUCUCAUGUUUCAGAAUAAACUGGUAUCUUUGUCAGAAUGGUGAAUAUCAAAGUAGAUGUCUCUCCAAAAUGGAAGGAAAAAGGAAGGUAUUACUGACUACUUCUUGGGAAAGCAUCUUUCUGAUUUGGUUGGAAGAAAUAGUGGUGUUAAUGUCACAACUUAGCACAGAUUUUUAAGGAACUUGUGUUUAGGUAUAAAAGUUGAAGUCCCAGAUUUCCUUACAUUUGGUUUUGAUGUGUUUCUAGGAAAAAACAAAUCACCUUGCACAUGUCAAAAAUGUAAACUGACUUUAAACAAAUUCUGAUAAAUACUAAAAUUCUUAGUAAUUGAAAAAUACUUAGCUUAUCAUGUGAAAACCACUUUACCCAGGCAAUGAUAUAAGGAAAUUGAGCUAGAUUAUGGUUUUAUUCAUAAUUUAUUUUUAUCAUCAUGGUCAUUAUUUCUCCAUCAUCAGUACAGUAUUAGGCAAUAUAGAUGUGUGAACAUUUUACAUAUCCUUCCUUGGCCUUAAAAUAAUUGCUUUCUUGUAUAGGAAAUAAAUUUCUCCCAAAUGCUUUCCUUUUCCAGCUGUAGAUGGUUAGCUCAGUUGGUAAGAGAAAGAAUGCUAACUAGAUGGGAUUUGGUUCCCUUUUGUGCCCAGUUUUCUUAAUUAUGUCUUUCUUGGGUCAGAUAUUUCUUGGGUCCUGAUUUGUCAAGAAGGGAAACUUCCCUAGGGUUAAAGAAUAUCAGCAUCCUGGGAAUCAGUUGACACUGCAGAAAGAACAAAUCAAAGCAAUAUAUCUUUUAGGAUAAUUCCAUAAUUUAAAAAAUAGAAACAUUUAUGUUUCCCAUUAAGGUUUAGAAAGUACUUUCUAACAACUUGCUUUUUAUAGAUGAGGAAGCUGAGGUUCAGAUAUGUCAAAUAGAUUCUCCAGGGUCACAAUAGUUAGGAUUCAAACUCAUCAUUUUUUGGAUUUAAAGCCAGUAUUUUUACUGUGCCAUUUCUCUUAAUGCAAAACUUUUAGAUAUGGUCUCAUAUCCUCAUGAAGGUGUGUCAAUGAUAUCUUCCAUUGAGAAGAAUAGUUUUAAAUAAUGUUUUCUACAAAUUAAGUUUACCUUAACCUAAAAUAUCUUUAGAUCUAGAUUGUUACCUGUUUAUUUUCAUUGAAGGUAACACGAGACUGCUUUGAAGAAAGUAUAGAUUAGAAUAGAGAAAUUUAUUCUUAAUUGCAUUCAUGAAACCUUUCUGCUUUUGGAGUCUAGCAGAAUACAUGACAUAUUGUGGGUUGGAUGACAUGCACAAGCACAUAUUUAUUGAUUACUGCUUUUGAACAGUAUUUCAUUUUUAGUAGUUUGUUGACAUUUUGAGAUGUAAGAUGGAUGCUGAUCUCUAUAUAUACUUCGCAAUACUCAUUUUACUUGCCAAGCCUGAAAUUUUCGGCACAAUUGGAAGGUUUGCAUGUAUAACUUGACUAAAAAGUCACGUUUUUAGGCUUUAAGACACAAAUAUGAAUUUUAAGAGAUAGAUUGCAUAGCAUUUUAAUUUUAGACUAUUUUUAUUUCAUUGAUAGACCAGGUUUUGAUUAUUUUCUAAGUGUAGUGAUAGUGAAAUUUGGAAGGUUAGUUACUUGGUUGAUAGAAUAAGACUAAAGUAAGACUAUUCAGAAAUAUAUCUGAUAGGUAUUCCAGACUGCCAGUUUCUCAAAUAGGGAGGAGAAUCUCUUUUAUUUGGGAGGAUUGAAACUAUUCUUUUGUUAUUACCUCACUACUUGAAAAUAUUUAGAAUAAAUAUAUAUAUAUAUAUAUAAUGUUCACAAAAAUACAAAGUUAGGUCUUUUUCUCACUUUUCUAUUCUUUCCCUGCAUCUUUGAAUAUAAACUUAGCCUAUUAUGAUUUUUCAGUCAAUUAAAAACAGACUUUGAAGGUAUAUAAAAAGGCAUAUUACACUAGUGUCAAAGUGAUGACAAGCUUUAUGUGGUGAGCAACAGUAGACUGAAGAAAUAGAGCUCUUAGAUUCUAGAUUUUUAAUUUUUUUAAUACAUUGUGCUUAAAUAUUUCUUGAAUUUGGCUUGUUUAUACUCAGAUUUAUCUUGAAAUUGUUUUUAGCAAAAUUAGAACAAUACUGAUCUUUAAAUAGUUUUUGAAAAAAAUAAUUGAGGUAAUAAUGACAUCUGUUGAGUAAAUGAUUCAGAAGUUGUAUGGAAUAGUGUAAAGUGUGCUGAGAUUAGAGUUCUGGGAUGGAAUCUUGCCUCUAGCAAGUACUAGUUGUGUGACCAUGAGCAAAUCACUGAACUUCUCUGAAUCUUAGUUUUCUUUUUUUUUUUUAAGUUAAGAAAAUAACUAGAAAUCUAUGUUUUUGGGUCAUUGUUAGUGGCUUUGUAAAUUUUAAAGCAUUAUGGAAAUGUUAGUUAUUAUUAUUCAAAACAUCAAUUUGUUCAAAGAUUUGUUAUUUCAUCAGUGUAGGUCAUUCCCUUGAUAGACUCAGAUCACUAAAGUUCCACUUUGCUGUCUUAUCUUGAAAUGGAGGUGACCCUGCGUUUUCAAAGUUCAUGCCAGCCAGCAGACCGCAAGUCCUGAAAGCUUCUGCCAAUCUGGAAAAGCUUUGAAUACGAAUACAGGCAUGGACAGGUGGCAGUGUCUGUCAAUUUUCAGAGAUUGGAAGUUGGCUACAGGGUAAGAAUUUUUCUAUUAAGCACUCUGUGAAGAUCAUCUAGUAACUUGUAGGAGGUAGUGGUGGUCUCUGUUGCUGCUGCUUUAUUUAUUUAUUUUUAACAGUAAUGUGAAUUCACAAGAUCAUUGGCAAUUAGUGUUGAGAAGUCAGCAGAUUGGUUUAGAGAAACAAUUUAGAUCAGUACUUUAUACUCCUUGAGAAUCCUCUGGAGCACUGAGAGGUUAAUGACCUAUCUAGGAUCAUAUAACUAUUGUGAGUUAAAGGUGGCACUUGAACUCAGGCCUUUCUGAUUUCAAGACUAGCUUUCUGGCUACUACAUUAGCUGCCUGAUUUACUAGUCCAAAACCCCACAAGUUUGGGGGAAUAUAUUAGGCAAUAAUGAGUCUUAAAUUAGAAGAUGAUUAUCCCCUAGGGCAUAUAUUUUGUUUAGGGUAGAGUUGAUUAUUCCAAGGAUUUUAUUCAGUCAAGUACUGAGAAAAUUGUGGCUGCUUUCACUGUUCUUAAGUGUGACAGUGUUAAGAGAAGUAAGCCAGAGACCAUAAAGUUUUUAGAACUCUUAUAUACAAUACCAUGAUAUGAAUAUGAGAAAAUAGCUAAUACUCUGGAGGCUUUUAGAAUGCACAUAUUUUUUCUCAGUAAGAGAAGGGAGCAAAGAACUGAAGUGGUCUUUUUCCACCUAUGAAUGUGGUUUUUGUUUGUUGUUAUAAAGAAUAAAAGGUGAGAACUAAAGCAAUAAAUUUCUUUAAUAUACUACCCAGAGUUGUUACUAGUUAAGGAAAUCAGUAUUAGAAGAAGGAAAAAUAUUUUCCUUUUCUAUACCUUAUUAGUGCUUCUGAUCCUGCACUUUCUUCUGAGAACUCUGGGUGGAUAUACAUACAUUCUGUUUACAUAUAUGACUGCUGGAUCACAGCCAUGAUCUGGAGAGGUGUUAGAGGUUAUCUAUAAUCAUCUCCCCUCUCUUUAGGUGAGCAGACAGGUCAGCAAGGUGAGUUGACUUGUCUAGGAUCAGACAAAAUCAAAAGAAAGCUCAUGUUAGCUGAUUUCUUUCUAUUCCAUUAUUUUCUGCCAUACCAUCCCUAACAUAAAGGAAUGAGGUGAUAAUUUGAACUUUCUCCUGUAAUUCCAUUCACAGUCAAAUGAGAAACUGUAAUAAUUAUCCACUAAUAGUUUUACUUCCUGAGAAUGGGAAAUGUUCUUUAUAAUUCAUUCAAUAGACAUUUCCUAUAUUGGUGAAAAGUACUAAAUGUUUCUCUAUUGACUUGUCUUUAACAUAUGGAUUCUAGAUGAAGUUUAUGAAAUUAAGAAUCUUUUCCAUUCAGGGAUCUCGUGUUAGUAGGAUUGCUAAAGGUUUUACGUAAAGUAAUUAGAUUGACUUUUUUGGUAUCAAGAGUAUGCUUGUAUCAGAAACAAUUUUGUAAAAUGUUUCAACUUGUGGCUGUUGACCAAGUUUUGGAUGGGUUAGCCAGUCUCUUUGGAAUUGUGUUAUUUCAUGUUGGUAUAAAAAUGAAUUGCUUAUUUAGAUUGAUGAGUAAAUGUCAAAUUUUGUGUAACUUUUAUUACUUUGAAUCCAAGAUUGGGAUGAGGUGGGGAGGAAACAUUGCUUUUUAAAAAGUAAGAUGAAAUAUUGUCAAAUUUUAGACUAGCACUUCCUGGUUUUUUAAAUAAUAUUUUCCCCUUCAAAAUAUAUAUUUUUUUAAACCCUUACCUUCUGUCUUGGAGUCAAUACUGGGUAUUGGCUCCAAGGCAGAAGAGUGGUAAGGGCUAGGCAAUGGGGGUCAAGUGACUUGCCCAGGGUCACACAGCUGGGAAGUGACUGAGGCCAGAUUUGAACCUAGGACCUCCCAUCUCUAGGCCUGGCUCUCAAUCCACUGAGCUACCCAGCUGCCCCCAAAAUAAUUUUUAACACUCAUUUGAAAAAAAAAAGUUUUGAGUUCCAAAUUCUUUCCCUUACUCCUUUCCUCUUCCUGAAACAGUGAGCAUUCUAAUAUAAUUUUUACACAUAGUGCUACAUAUUUUUAGAAAGAAUAUAGCUACAGUGUGAAAAAAUUGUUGAUUAUUAGAUAGCUUGUUCAAAUAAACAAUUAUGACGAUGUUUGAAGUCUUACAUAUAUAUAUAUUUAUUUUGUUUUGAAAAAACUCGAAACUUUCUGUAAAGAAUGUAUCACAUAUUUUAAGUAAUGAAGCAAAACCGUGAAGACAUUUGUUUAGGUCUUAAAUCUGGACAAAACACAUUUUUCAAGAAAAUAGUGACUAGUAAUAAAAAAAUACUUAUUUUUCUAGUGUGAUUCAGAAAUAAAGGGCCAAAAAGUCUGCAGUGGAAAAUGUCAACUUUUCCAAGACCCUAUUAAAACACUGAAUCACAAAUGAAAAAGAUGAUUUCUUCCUUUUGUAUCAGUACAUUUGCUUAUAGAGAGUUCAUCCUACAAGGUUAAGCAGUCAAAAAUCCAGCCAGGAUUAUGAGAGAUUCUGUGUCAGGGGGAAUGAACUUUUGGCACAGUGAUUGUCAUGGUGAAGAAGUCAGUGUUCUGGCUUACAAUAUGCUUUUUUGUCACGUAGUCUGUGACUUACAAUGGUAUUACCUAGGUUAUUCACCUGUUUUUAUUCAGUGUUAAAAGUCUUUUAAAAAAAUAUCCUUUUUUUAUAAUCUAGGCCUUCCCCAUUAUCCAUUCCAUAUGGUAUCCCUACCCUAUAUGCUGUCCUUUAUGACAACGAAGUUUUGGAUUAAAAAAAAUUUUUUUUGAAAAAAAAACUAGUAAAACCAGCAAACAUUGAAAAAGCCUGGAAUUUUGUACAAUAUUUAUUCAUUCAAUUUCAUUGUGAAUGUAUUUCUUUUUCACUUUUCUAGCACCCCCCCCCCCCAAUCUAUACAUCCUUAAAAGUAUGUGCUACCAUUAAGGAUAUAGCUAUUAUUUAAAAGUUUAAACCCAUUUUAUAAGCAUUAUUAAAUUAGAAUUCUAUGAUUCUGGGAGGUAGAAGUGUAACAAUUAUCCAUAUUUUACAGAUGAAAAAACUUAGGAUAAAGCAUGUUAAGUGGUUUGGUCCAAGGUUAUUCUACUAAUAAUUUUCAGUGGAGGAAUUUGAAACCUGGUUUUUCUGACAUCAAGGCCCAAUACUCUGUUGACUGUGCUAGGGUUUCCUCCCAUUCAAAAUAGUGAACAGUAGACUUUGAAAGCAGAUACAAACAUGCAUUAAACUAUGAUAGUAUUAUUGAAAUAAGUCUAUAACCUACCAAGAUGACUUUCUUUGAAAGGUGUAACACGUAUGUGCAUUUUGAUAUGUUUAUUAACACUAGAAGCACCAAACACCUGAAUUGACACAAAAAUUUGCUUUGAAAUAAAAUUUGUUAUCCUACUAGUUCUAUUUGCUUUUUGGCUAAAAAUAGCACACUGUGUCAAUUGAUACAUCUUGGUCUUUCAAAGUAUUCUUAAACUCAGGUACUUCUAGUUAAAAUCAGUCUCUGUAUCUUUUGUGCGAAAUGGGACUGUAUUAAACUUCAGUUUUGGGCUUUUAAAGUAUAAUGUAUACAACAAACUUAAAUCCAUAAUCUAUAUGAGUGAAAUUUUACAGUGAAUUGUAAUUGUAGAACCUCUGAGUAAUAGUAUUGAAGGCUAUGUUCAGUUAAUUGCACUAUUGCUCUUCAAAAUAAUUUCUAAACCAUCUUUUUCACUCCCACUUCCACCCCCACCCCCACCCCCCUGGAAAUUUGGAUACUCAGCUCUGGUCUUUGCUUCCCUGGGACCAGGCUACCAGGUCCUUUCAGGUUAUUUGCAAACCGUGCUGCUGCUGGUUCCCCUCUCCCCAUUCCCCUCACUAAUUGUUAGCUUUCUCCGUGAGAUUGUAAAUGCCUUAAAAUUAGGGACUAGUUUGAUUAUUUGUCUUUUUUUUUUUUAAAUCACUUCUGCUUAAUACUUUGCUUGGCACAUAGUAAGCACUCAGUUAUCUUUCUUUUAUCCAAAGCUUAGUUUUCUUGCUCCCUCAGAUUCUGUUAACCUAAGUUCUAGGACUGAAGUAAACAAAGAACUCUUGAAAUAGCUGUCACAAAGCCAUUGUAUUAAAUCUAAAUAUUUUUAUUACUAUUUAGGUAGUCAGAGUAUUUAGAUCCUUUAAGUAUGUGUAUAAAUAUUUGUAUAUUUAACCUAUAGUUUUUAACAUAUAAUUAACUUCUUUCUAGUCUACAGAAAAACCUUGCCACUGGUAGGUGGUGGUUUUAGUUCAUUAUUAUGGCCUUGCCGUCAAGAAAAUGUUUGUUUGAAUCACAGAGAGGGGGAUUAACGUCCAGUGAGUCUAGAAAGAUAGGUUGAGGCUAGAUUGUGAAGGAUUUUAAAAAGCUAAACAGGGAAAUUUAUAAUUUUUCCUAGAUCCAAUGAGAAACCACUGAAAUUACUUCAGGAGAGGGUGUCAUCUCCACUUAAUGAAAAUUACUUUGCCAGCAGUAUAAAUUAUGGCUUGGAGUGGUCAUAGACUUAAGGCAUAGGGACCAGUUAGGAGGUUGCAAUAAUCUAGGUGACAAGAACCUGAGGGAGAGAAGGCUUCAGAUAUGAGAUGUAAAGGUAAAAAUGGCAAGAUUUAGCAACUUGAGAUGAAAUAUGGAAGCGGAUUCUUCAAAAAAAGAGAAGGGAAGUUUGGAAAAGGAUGAGGCAGACUUGGUGAGUAUGAUGAGGAGUUAAAUUUUAGACAUUGAGUUUUAGAUAUUUCUGAAACUUAUAGUUGGAAGUGUUCAAUAGGCAAUUGGACAUCUAUAAGUUGAUAUGGGACCAAAACUUGGAGGAAACAUUAGAAUGGAAAUGUAGAUAUACACAGAAAGGAUAUUUAAAUCCAAGCAAGCUAGUGAAGUUACCAAGAAAGGGAAAUUAGAAGAAGAGAGGUAAUAACCUUGGGGAACCUCCACAAUUAGGGAAUAUGAUAUAAAUGAAAAUCCAGCAAAAGAGACUAAGCAGUUGGACAAGUAGGACUUUUAACGGAGUAGAGAGAGUAUCCAGGAGAGGGAGGCUAAAUACAAUAGAUAGGUUGAGAAGAAUUAGGGCUUUGAAAAGACUAUCAUAUUUUGACAUUUAAGAGGGAAAAACUGAUGCCAUUGUAGUCUGUAAAGCCAUGAAUGAUAUAAAUACAGUGAAAAGAUUUGUUUACUAAAUCCCCAAAUAGGAUGAGGGGAGGUGGCUUUGAAAACUUCAUAGAGACAAGGUUAGGGCAAAUCAAAGAAAUAGUACUUCCCUCAGGAGGGAGUAGUAAGUUUGUGGAACUCAUCCCAAGAGAGGGAAGAAGAAAUAAAAAGAUUUAGAAAGUGUUAGGACAAAUCUGUGAAAAAGAAAUUAAUUUGAACUAAUCUUAAGCACAUCCUUUCUCAUUCAGAAGACUGAACUUGGUGGCUCUUAGGUCAGGCCUAGUUCAGAGUUUUUAGAUUUUUAAACAAUAAGAAGGUAGGGAGAAAAUAAGCAUUUAUAUACUGCCCACUAUGUGCUAGGCACUGCACUAAGUGCUUUACAAAUAUUAUCUCAUUUGAUCCUUAUAAAAAACCUGCAAGUUAGGUGCCUAUUCUCACAUUUUACUGUUGAGGAAACUGAGGCAAACAACUUUGUUCAGAAUGAUAUGGCUGGUGUCAAUAAUAUAUUUCAAAGAGGACUCUUUAAAGUGUUAAUUUUUUUGGUAAAGCUGCUAUUUUUUGAUUUAUGAAUUGGAGCAUUCAUUUGGCUCAUGUAUUGUGAUUUUAAAACUACCGGUUGAUGGCAGUGAGUGCUUAAGAUGCAAAAAGUAUAAAGGAAAAAAGUGGGGCAUAUCAAAGCAUAGUUUAAGUGAACUUAAAUUUUGUUUCAGUUUUGUAAUUGCAAGUUGAUUGGACAUUCAACACUCCUGAAUGUUGCUAGAGUCAGAUUAAAAUGUGAUUGGGAAAAAUUAACAAGUUAAAUUUAAAAAAUCAAUAAAGCAUAAAUUUAUUUUUAAGUGGUCCUCUGAGGUCCUUAUAUAUGGUUUAGUGACCACCUUUCUAUUGGAGUUUGACAUCACUGCUCUAGGUACAACUUUAAGUCGCAGAGAAGGUGUUGAUCUGUCUUGUAGUAGGAGAUGUUUUUUUACCCCUCAUUACUAGUGAAAUCAUUCUCUGCCCAUAUUCCUAGACUUAUGACUAUCUUAAAACUUCUUACCUAGUUUAUGUUUUGAAAUAAUUUUUAAAAUGCCCCAUAAGUUUUGAUCUAGCAAAAAAUGUCACUUGGAAUUUUUCUUAGAACCGUUCUAAUCAAAUAGCCUUUUUAGGUUCAUCUAAAUGGGGAAAUUGAUUAUGAAUGCUGGUUUUUACUUUUUCUCAGGAACCAGCAUCAAAUAUGGUCCGGUUCAUCACCCCUUCAAUGUUCUUAUAAGAUCAGACCUAGAAUUUUCAAGAAUGCAAUAUUCUUUUCAACCAUGGCAUUUUCCCUUUUCUCUAAGACACUCCCAUUUGAUUGUGACUCCCUUUCCUUCUUUUGCCUUUCUUGAAUAUUUGUGCUUAAAAACUAUUUUACAGAUUUGUUACAUGCUGAGCUUAACAUUUCAUGGUUGAGUGAGAAUUCCCAAAUGGAGAUGCUUUACAAAAUAUAAAAUGCUUUCAAAAUCUCUUCAGUUUCUAUGAAUUUAUAUUGUCUAUCCAAUCACUUGUUCCUGUCUGUUAUAAACAAAUUCACAGGGGGCAGCUAGGUGGCUCAGUGGAUUGAGAGCCAGACUUAGUGGGAGAGUCCUAGGUUUAAAUUUGGCCUGAGACACUUCUUAGCUUUGUGACCCUGCGCAAGUCACUUAACCCCUGUUGCCUAGCCCUUACCACCUCUUAUGCCUUGGAACCAAUACACAGUAUUGAUUCUGAGAUGGAAGGUAAGGGUUAAAAAAAAUCCACAGAAUAGAUAUAACAUAUAUAAUGAAGUUAAUUUAUUUUCCCUGUGAAGAUAGACCUUGUUUGCUAGUUGAGCUUUGAAUAGUUGUUGACUUAACAAUUUGAACAUUGCAGGAAGUUUACCAUUAGGACUUUUCCCAUUAGCAUUUGGUUCUCUCUCACUCCCUUUCUCCUUUUUAAAAACCCUUAACUUCUGUCUUCGAACCAAUACUUGGUAUAGUAUAGUAUAGUUCUAAGACAGAAGAAUGGUAAGGGCUAGGCAAUGGGGUUGAAGUGAUUGGCCCAGGGUCACUAAGGAAGUGUCUGAGACCAGGUUUGAACCCAAGAGCUCUAGUCUCCAGGUGCCUGGUUCUCUAUCUACUGUGCCAUCUAGUUGCCUCCCAUUUAGUUAGUUCUCUUUUAAAAUAUUCUUGUAAUUUGCUUGUUUAUGUGUCUGUGGAAGUUUAAUGAUGUUGUUUGUUUUUUGUUUCUAGUGAAGUAAGAAACCACAAAUACAGAUUUAAGGAAAAUCUUUUUGUUAAUCAUUUAAUCCAUCAUUUGAAUGUCUUGCCCUCCCUUUCAUUUUAUGAAUCCUCACCAUCAAAAAUCAUAUUUCAUAUGAUGACAGCUGGCCUUUAUGUGGUACUUUAUGGCUACUAAAUGCUUUAUAUAUUUUAUCUCAGUAUCACAAUCUUGUGUAUAAGGUUGAUAGUUUUAAGUGUUUUCAUCUAUUUUUGAGGUGAAGAAAUUGAAAUUCAAAGAUGACUUAUUGAUGGUUAUAUAUAAUACUAAGAGACAGAGUCAGAAUUGAGAGCCAAUAGUUAACAUGAUUUCUCUCCCCCCACCCCCAUUUUGAGUAUAAAAGGUGAAAUUAGUUAAUAAAAAGAAUUUCAACAAGUAUUUUAAAAAAUUCUUAAUGGAUAUAUAUGUAUACACACACAUAUAUAUGUACAUACACACUCUCAUUUCCAAAUAUAUCCAUUCCUCCCCCUCUUCCAGAGCCUUAAAAGGGUAAUAGAGAAAACAGCAGUAAACCAGGAAAGGAAUUGAGGCUACUGUUUAUGCAGCAUUCCAUCUUUACACCCCCCCCCCCCUUUUGCAAAGAAGGCAGGGAUGCCAAAAGUUGUUUUUAACUGAAGAAUCUAAAGAGAAAUUUAAGACUUCUUCAUCUUUAUACUCCUAAAACAACUUGCUUUAUCUAUUCUGAGAUAUUCUCUUCUGGAAUUGCUCUUGCACUUUCUUUAGAGACCUUAAUUAGGUUCUUUCUCCUUUUUUUGCCUUUUGAUUGUGUUACCUGUGGGACUUUGCUGGGCAUAUUUUCUGUCUUUCUGAUAUCAAGUAAAGACUAUAAACAGGUGACUGAUUUAUUAUGUAGGUCAUUGUAGUUUUUCUCUUUAUCAUUUGCUUUUUUACAGCACAAAGUUUUGAAUUCCCACCAUUACAGAAAGUGAAAAAUAAUAAAAUAGCUUCCUCCCAUUUCUUAUAAACUCUUUCAUAAAUUCUACUUUAGCCAUAUUAAACAUUGCUAAUAAACUUAUCUAAACAAAAAUUAGAAUGUAUCACUUUUUCUAUCUUACUGUCAUUUGCUUUGCCUGUUUAUCUAUCUACCAGCUGCUAUUUUAACAAUAUUUCUUCUUCAUUCCUACCAACAUGUUGAUAUAAUUUCUCUUUUCCUGAUUGUUUUCUAUCUGGGUUGUUGCACAUUAUCCUAGAGCUAGGGAUCCCAAAUACACCCAUAUUUUUCCUAUCCUUAAAAACUAUCACUUUUCUGACUAUCUCUGCUAGUAGUUGUCCUAUAUUUCAGGUACUCUUGGCUAAAUUUGAAAAAUCGAUUUAUAGUCUGUGCCUCCAUUUCCUCUCUUCUCACUUCUAAACUGUUGGCAGUUUGACUUCAGAUCUCAUUGUUCAAAUUCUUUACAAAGUCACUGGUGAGGUUUGCCAAAUUUAAUAGGCAUUUUCUUAUCUUCAUCCUUCUUGACCUCUGUAACCUUUAACAUUGUCAAAUGCCACUGUAAAAUUCCUAUCUCCUAGAAUCUUUUCUUUCUAGGUUUUUGUGACAUUGGUUAUUUUUGUUUCUCUUCUUAUCUGUUUAAUCAUUCCUUCUUACUCUCCUUUGGGGUGGGGCAGGAAAGGAAUCUCCAUUCCAGAUCAUGCCUGCUAACUUGAUAUUCCCCAAACUCUUCUCUUCAUCUUCUGUAUGAUACUGUUUAGUGGUUUUAUCAACUCUUUUGGGUUCAUUUAUCAUCUCUGUAGAGAUGAUUUACAGAGCUCUGUAUCCAACCUUAGUCUGUCUCCUGGGUUCCAGUCCUACAUUAUCUAAUUGCUUUUCAAACUGUUCCAUAAACUUUUUCAAAUUCAGUAGAUCCAAAACAGAACUCACCUUUCCCCCCUCAAAACCCAUUAGCCUUUCUAUUACUGUCAAGGUCAUCACCAUCUCCUUAAUCAUCCAGCUUCACAACCUUGGUGCCUUUCUCAACUCCUUACACUUAUAUGACAUGUUCAAUCUAUUAACAACUCUGGUUGCUUUUACCUUCACAACAGCUUUCAUAUAGAAAAUAUAGACAUCCUCUCCAUUUCUACAUGUCCUUAGUGCCUUAGCCUGAACUACUGAAAUUGUCUUCUAAUUGGUCUCACUGCUUCAGAUUUUUCAGCUUAAUUCAUCCUCCAAUUACCUGAUAAAGUGAUAUUUCUAAAGCAUAAGUCUGUUCGUGUCACUCUUCUCCCCACCCACUCUAGGAUUAAAUCCUUGGUUUGGCUUUUAAAGGCCUUCACAACCUCUCUACCAUCCUACCUUUCUAGUCCUCUUAAAACGUUACUCUUUACAGUAUAGCAAUCUAGCAACAUUGGCCUUCUUGCUGUUCUUCCAGAUUAGCAUGCCUAUCUCCAGACCUUGUGCCUUUUAAUGCCUAAAACACUCUCCUUCUUGUGCUCUGUGUCUUGGUUUCAUCCCUUCAAGCCUCAGCUCAAUCCCUACCUUCUGCAGGAGACCUUUCUAUUUGGUCUCUCCCUACUUGAUAUUAGUACUUUCUCUCUCAAAAUUAACCUUCCACUUAAAUUGUACAUAUCUUAAACCCUUACUUUCCAUGUUAGAAUUGAUACUAAGUAUCCUAUCCAAGAAGAUCAGUAAGGGCUAGAUAGUGUAGGUUAAGUGACUUGCUGAAGGUCAUACAGCUAGGAUGGGCCAGAUUUGGAUCCAGGACUUCAUGUUGCCUAGCUCUUUAUCCACUGAGUUGCCUAGCUGCCCCUUUUGUUCAUUAUUUUACCCCAGUACUCUUUGAGGAUCCACUCAGAAAUCACCCUCUGUCCUCUUCAGAUUACACUGUAUAUUUCACAUUCUGUAUUAACUAAGUGGGAACAUAUAUUCCUAGCUUUAUUGCAUGUUUGUCUCUCAUAUUAGAAUAUAAUCACUUUGAGGAUAAGGACUAUGUUUUUGCCUUUCUUUAUUUCCCCAUCAUGCAACAAUGCCUGGCACAUAGAAGCACUAAUAGAUUUGUUUAUUGACAAUUACCUGUCAAGAUAUUAUGGAGGUAACAGUGAGAGACUUGGUGGUUGCUAUUUGCCUGGUAGGCUGAAAAAGGAGAGCAUUUGAGUUGAACCUCAGAUAGAGGUUCGAAUAGGGGACCUUUGAGGUCUUUUAUGAGAAUAUUCUUAUUCCUUCACAUUUAUCUUUGUGUAUUUGUGUAUCUUGCUCCUUUUUAAUUUUAUUUUUUUAAAUUUUCUUUAGGGUAAGGUCUAUACAUCACUUUUUAACUUUGUGUCCCAAGUAAUUUGCAUUUAGUGGGGAGGCUUAUUAAAUGGUUAUUUCAUUAAAAAAAAAAAAACCCUUACCUCCUGUUUAUAGAAUCAUCACUGUAUAUUAGUUCCAAAGUAGAAGAGUGGUAAGGGCUAGGCAGUGGGGGUUAAAUGACUUGCCUGGGUCACACAACUAAGAAAUACCUGCAUCAGAUUUGAACUUGUCUCUAGGCCUGGCUCUCAAUCUACUGAGCCACCUAGAUAUCCUCACAUUUCAUUUUUAACAUUUUACAAAUGUACAUGAGCCUCAGGUUGUGAUUUGUCACAGCUGGUAAGUUCCAGUUAGGUAGAUAUCUAUAUUGUGGGACCUGUGUUCGGAGGGGGAACCUUAGGUUAUGUGCUGCUUGUGAGAGAGAGCAGUUCACAAUAUUCACUCAAACAGGACCCUAACAUUUAUCUUUUCUUCUCCCAAACUACCUCUCUCAUGCCCAAUAAAGUAUUUCAUAUUUUUAAGCAUUCUCUAGCAUAGCAUAGCUAUAUCAUUAACCCCCGGUGAAAGAUGGAUUUUAUUUGUUUGCUUGUUUGAAGGUAAAUUCCUAUUAUGACAAAUGAUAUUUCAAAUAAAGAUUCUGUAUGAGCUAUUUUCCACAUGCCUCUCCCUCCCAUCCCCCCCAUUCAUACAAGCAGAGCUUUGUUCAUCUGGGUAUAGUGACAUCUAUUUAAACAUAAUCCUGCAACUCAAUUCAGUUUAAACUGCAUUUAUUAGGACAAAUACUUUUCCUAGUAAUAUGUAACAAUUACUAGACAGUGAGAGACUUGGUGGUUGCUAUUUGCCUGGUAGGCUGAAAAAGGAGAGCAUUUGAAUGGGCUUUUUACAUUCCUUCAAUUAACCUUCAAUCCCCUCACUCUUACAUUAUUACAUUUAUACUCAUCUGAAUUUUGAAAAUCACUGAAACUGGGGGCAGCUGGGUGGCUCAGUGGAUUGAGAGCUAGGCCUAGAGAUGGAAGGUCCUAGGUUCAUAUCUGGCCUCAGACACUUCCCAACUGUGUGACCCUGGGCAAGUCACUUGACCCCCAUUGCCUAGCCCUUACCACUCUUCUGCCUUGAAACCAAUACACAGUAUUGAUUCCAAGACAGAAGGUAUGGGCUUAAAAAAAAAUCACUGAAGCUUCCAAAUUACCAGCCACAAUAGAAAGUACAAAAAGAUCCAAGAAUUUAAAAAAAGAGGAUGGGGAAUGGAGUACUUGUAUAUAUAAUAGUUUCUUCCUCUCCUGGCAUCAGAGCACUCUUAUUUUUUAUUGUUGAUAUGGGUAAUACUCAGAUUCUCAUUUCUAGGUUGUUCCUAUGGACCAGGAGUCAGAAUUAUUCACUUUUAGAGUUGGAAGGAGCUGGAAAUUAGAAGCUAAUGAUACCAGUAACAAAGAUUUAUAAAAUAAUAUGGUUCAGCUUUGUAAGAAUAGUAUUAGGAAUGCUAGAGUUAAAAAAAAGCAGAAUUUAGAGGGGGGGGUCUAGGAAAAUUUUGUUAAGGAGUGUUUUUAAAGCCCUAUCAGAUAAAAGAGAAGAUAUAUCUUCCACUAUUAUAUCUAUUUUCUCAUCCUUUGUUCAUAUGAUAAACAUUCAAAUACUUGUUCUGCUUGUGUUCAUAUGAUAAACAUUCAAAUACUUGUUCUGCUUGAGAAUAGGUGACAGUAGGUUUAGGCUUUUCAGAAAGAAAAACUAACCAAGUAGUGCUAUUCCUCAAUAAUAGUUCCCUCUCUCAAGAAUUAUUUGAUCACAGACAAGAUGACCACUCUGAGGGAUUUGUUGUAGAAAUGUUCAAGUAGAGAUUAAACUAAAUGCUGAAUUUCUGAGUGAAUAUUCAUUAAAACUAACUUGUAUAUUGUUAUCACUUCUAUAUCCCUUCCCCAACAAAGUGAUUUCUAAUGUUCUCUGGAGAUAGAUAGGUAUGCCUAUCAUUAUAUUUUAAAGUUUGUUAUCUAAAAGAAGGCUAAAACUUGAAGUUGGCUUUUUUGGUGCUCCUUAAUCUCUUUUCAGACUAAAUAUCCCCACUUUUUUUAAACUGAACUCCAUAUGAAAGUUCUCUUACAUAGAUAACUUCCUGCAAACCAUGGCUUUACUAUUUUUGCUUUUUUCUGACAUUAAUUUUCACAAUGUUUGCCUUGAGCCUAUAUGUCGCAAUUGGAUGUUUACAGUGCAAGAACUGAGUCAUGUGGUAAUCUCAAGGAACAGCUAUGAAUAGGUAAAUUAUGUGACUCAAUUUAGCGUGAUCUAGCUUCAUGUAGUAUUUAGAAUUUUCCAUUCAUUUCGUAUCUUCUUGCCCUUGUACCCUAAGCUUUGAAUGCUGUCCCUCACUUUACCCCAAUGCCCUUUGAAGGUUCACUCAGGAGUCACUGUCCUCUCUAGAUCACAUUGUAUAUUGCAUGUAUUCUAUAUUAACUUAGCUUGGAACACAUAUUCCUUGAGUGUAAUAUAAUUUACUUGAGAACAGGGAUUAUUUUACUUCCAUAAUUGUAUCUCUAGUGCCUCCUAUGGCACCUGGUAGAUAGUAGGCAUUUAAUAAAUGCCGGUUGUCUCUCCACAAUUUUUGUAGCUCAAUAUAGAAUACUUUCUUUGAGGUGUUUGUCUCUGCUUGGUCUUGCCCUGGGUCCCCUGGGUUCUUUUUCUAACUUCUUUCUCCCAGAAUCUUUAAAGUUCCUAACAUUUGAUCUUAAGGAUCCCUUCUCUAGCAUCCUAGGAGAGAAUGUUUAAGAGAGCAGAGUCCUUGGGCCUGGGCAGUUCAGAUCUGAGUUGUCCAUCACUUCCCUGGUCAUCAGUGCAUUGGUGGAGAGAUUUGAUACUUUUUUACUUUUAGUAAGUAUAACAAAGUAAUGUUUCUUGUAUUUAAUAUUUAAUUACUUAUUAACCAGCCCAGCAUUACCAUUGAUGGCACGCAGCUUUCUAAUGCCAACACUUUCAAGUACCUGGGCAGCACCACUGCCAACGACAGGUCCCUAGACCAUGAGAUCAAUGCCAGGAUCCAAAAGGCCAGCCAGGCACUCGGGCAGCUGCUUUGCAAAGUCCUCCAACACAGAGGUGUAAGCACUGUGACGAAGCUCAAAGUGUAUAAUGCAGCGGUCCUCAGCUCGCUCCUGUAUGGUUGUGAGACACGGACACUGUACCGGAAGCACAUGAAACAGCUGGAGCAAUUCCACCAACGCUCUCUCCGGUCAAUCAUGAGGAUCUGAUGGCAGGACCAAAUCACCAACUAGGAAGUCCCCAACCGAGCCAACUCCACCAGCAUCGAAGUCAUGGUCCUCAAAGCCCAGCUACGAUGGUCUGGACAUGUCAUCCGCAUGGACCCACAGCGAAUACCAAGACAGGUAUUCUAUGGUGAACUGUCAGCUGGACUCAGGAAACAAGGCCGACCAAAGAAAAGAUUCAAGGAUCAGCUAAAGUCCAACUUGAAGUGGGCUGGCAUUACACCAAAGCAACUAGAACUCACUGCCUCUGACAGAAGCAGCUGGUGAACCCACAUUCACCAUGCUGUCACCACCUUUGAAGAUGAACGAUGUCGACGUCUUGCCGCUGCGCAUGAACGCCAACACCAGGCCACAACUGUACCUCCCGUAACAACUGGCGUCCCAGGCCCCAUGUGCCACAAACUCUGCGCCUCAGCCUUUGGACUCCAAAGCCACAUGAGGGUACACCGUAGAUGAAAACGCACAAAGACAAUUGUCAUUCUCGGUCACUGAGAGACUUACUACUACUACUUAUGGAGAGACAGUGAGAGGUUGUAGAUGAUGGAGUAUUGUUCUUAAUCCUUGGAGUCAGGAAGGCUUUAGUUUUUCUGACAAAAUACUAGCAAUAUGACUCUAGGCAAGUAACUUAACUGGUCUGUUACCAGGCAACUUGAUUAGACUGUAGGCUAGAGAGGAGACUAAUCUGCUUUGGUAGAAUGAGUUUUCCACACUGAGAAUUCCUUCUUUGAUCGGAGCUCAUUGGAGACAGCCACUUAAUAGAUAAGAAUAAAUCUAUGAAAGGAGGUGAGAGUAUGGAAAGAUAAUAAGAUAUCACAGAUCAGAAAUGAAAUGGAAUGUUUGUGAACUGGUUCCUCCCCCUUUGAUCUUUUUACAGCAAUAUACAACCUUUAGAGUUAAAAGUGAAUUUAAACACAUGCCUCUUUUUAAUAGAACACUAGUAAGUAAGGAAGGAAGCAUGUUUUUAUUAAGUGCCUUCCCUGCACCAGUCACUGGGCUGAGUUCUUUACAAAUAUUAUCUUAUUUGAACCUUUAGUGAUUGUAGAGAGGUGGAUACCAGGUUUUCUUGGUAAAGAGUUAGAGAAGGCCUUAAACUGUUGUGUUUGAUAUAUGCUGCCUAAAGAAAUAAACACCUGAUGGCAGUAACCAAUGUUAAAGGCAAAGUGUGAGCUGGAACAGAGCUGCCUUUUUAGGAAUUUGUGAGAAGACUACACAGAUGUUAAGAAGAGAAAUAUAUAAGGAAGAUGGCAGAAAUUCCUACUCGAGAAUAUAUUAAAUAAAUACAAACAAUAUAGUCUAAGUCAGUGAUGGUGAACCUUUUGAAGACUGAGUGCCCAAACUGCAACCCUCAUGCUGUAUGUGAGCUCCAGCCUUACCCCAGACAGAGGAGGAAGUGCUCCCAUUGGGCUGCUGGACAGAGAAGGUGGUAAUGAGAGAAAUGUCACCAGGAGCUCCCGAAGAGGGGGAGGUGAGCAGCUCCUUCCAGCACACCUGCCAUAGGUUUGCCAACACUGGCCUAAGUUGUAUACAUCACGGCUAAAGAAGAUUGGUUAUUAUAAUAGCCUCCCAAUUUAUCUCCCUGAAUCUACCCUUUCUCUUUCCCAGUCUAUCAUCUAUAGUCUGCCAAAUUGAUUUUAACUAAAGCAUAGUUUUGAUAAUCCCUUGCUCAAUAAACUUUAGUUCCUCACUGUGAUAUCCAUAAGUAAGUACAAAAAUUCCUUUGUCAUUUAAAGCCUUUCUCAAUCUUGCUGUAGCCUGUUUCCAGACUUAUUGUGCAUUACACCCCCUCACAAACUCUGUGUUCCAACUUACCUGCUGUUCUUUCUUCUGUACAAGAAAUUUCAUUUUACAAGUCCCUGGCUUUCAUAGGCUGUCUUCCAUGCCUGGAAUACUCUCUUUCUUCAUCUCUUUCAGUAGGAACCUAUAGCUUCCAUCCAGGGUGCACCUCAAUUGCCAUCUUCUACAAGAAGUCUUUCUUGGUUCCCUCAGUAGUUGGGACUUGAUCUUGAAAUUAUUUUGCAUUCACUCAUAUGGGUUGAAUCUUCCCUAGUAGAAUGUAAGCUCCUUUAGGGUGGAGAUUGUCUCAUUUUUGUAUUUGUAUCCCAGGAGUCUGGCUUUUGGAGGUGCUUCAAAGUGAGCUCUGAUUUUAUGUUUUGAUAUUCUUUAAGAUAGUUCAUAUUGAAACUUACCAGUGCUUUCCCAGUUGGAGUCUAUGCAGCUUUAGAAGAUCUAGAGGAAAUAUUAGUACACUGGGUGAAUAAUUUCUUAAUAAUAAACACGAAUAAGAGAAUCAUCCUUUUCUAUGCCUACUUUUUAUCAAAAUCAUGGAGUAUUAAAAUUGAAAUGUUUAUGUAGUUUAGAGGGUCUUGAGGUCUUGGUAAAAUUUCUAUACUCCCAUUCAGCAAUUAUUCAUGGUAGUCUUUUUGCAAAUUCUUAUAAGUAUCUUCGAGUAGAACUUACACAGAAAUGAAAUAUAAAUGCACUUCAAAGCAUUUUUGCUCUCAUAGUAACUUUUUCAUCUGUUUUCCAGUUAUUGAAUACUGAUGAUAUCAUUGUUGUUCUGGUAGUCCAAAAUGCUUGUUUAAAAAACUUAAAAAGAGCUCUUCUCAUUCAGUGUUUGACUAUGUCUCUAAAAGCUCUCAAAGUUAUUUGCCAAACACUUCCUUGUGGAAGUAGUAGGAUAGAGCUAUUCAAGAAAUACGGGGAUUAGUAGUUUGUUCUGUCUGUGCUAUCUGCUUCCCUCCUCAUUGAUCUAGAGUUGAAAGGGACUUCAGAAGCUAUCUAGGCCACAACUGCCUCUUUUCAGUUGAGAAAACUGAGGUUCAUGAAGAUUGUAAAUUGCCAAAAUUUCACAGGUAGGUAGUUUCAGAGGCAAUAUUUGAAUGUAGGUCUUCUGACCACAGAGCUCGAAAAAUGGCAGAGUUUGCAAGAACAGAAUUUGCAGACAGAAGAAUUGAUGUAUUAUUGGCAGAGGCUGCUUGUUUUUUGCUCUUUUUUUUGUACCACCUGCUGUGUGUAAGCUAGCUUUGGGUUUAUGGAUGUUUAUUGUAGUCAGAAGGAUCAGAGAUCUAUCUGCUGGCAAACUUUUAUGAUGAUUUGAUGCAGUUUAUUUUAGUAGACAUUAAGUUCUCACUCUGUGUCAGGAACUCUGUUAGAGCCUGGGAAUAAAGAAAACAAAACAGCCUUUGCCCUUGGUAAGGUUAUAUUUUAUUGGGGGAGGAGAAGAACAAAAUUGUGGUGGGGGGCACUAACCUCUUGGGAUUAGGAUUGAUCUUUUGUUUGAGGGGGCAAAUGAAUUGUGCUUUAAAGAAAGCUUUGAAUUCUAAAGAGAGAGGACACUUCCAUAUAUGGGGGGCAGCUUGUGCAAAGGCAUGAGGGCAGGAAAUGGAAUGUUGUGUACUUAAAACAUCAGGCAGGAAAGUUUGAUUGGAAAAUAAGAGUUCCUGAAAGACAUUAAUGUCCAUUAAAUCUGGAAAGGGAGGAGCCAGAUUGGGAAGGACUUUAAAAGCUAAAAAGGGGAGUUAGUAUUUUUUUUCUCUUUGAGGAAGUGGGAGGGUAAGAGACAUGCUUAAAAAUUGCUUUAGGAGUAUCAUUUGGCAGCUGUAUUUAUGUAUUUAUUAGGAUGGAUUGAAGGGAGAGGCACUAGGUAGGCACUUGCAAUAGUCCAGAAAAAAGUUGAUAUUGGGUCUAAGUUUGAAUGAUAGUUGUAUGAGUGGAGAGAUAUGUUAUGGAGGUAGAAUUGACAGCAGGAGGCAACUGCUUAGAUAGAUAAGGGGAGAAAGAAGAAUUGAGAAUGAUUCCAUGUUUAUGAACUUGAGUGACUAGAAGGAUGGGUGAAUACCUUAAACAGAAAGAGGGAAGUUAAGAGGAUGGUGUGGGAUAGAGAGUGACUUUAGGAAAAAAGAGAAUGAGUUGAGUUUUAAGACUUGUGACUUUGAAAUACUUGUCAGUUACAUCUGGUUGGAGAUGUCUUGGAGGCAGGUAGUUGGUGAUGUGGGACUAGAAUUCAGAAAAGAGAAUAGGACUAGAUAUUUAAUUUUUAGAGUCAUUUGUGUGGAAGUAGUCAUUAAACCCAUGAGAGCUGAUGAAAUCAUUAAGAAAGAUUUGGAGUUAAAGAGCCAGAAUGAUUAUGUAAUCAUGAUGCCCUAUGGAUUUUCUUUGAUUCUUUAUUUUCCUGCAUAUAGAUGAGAAAUACAAAAUAUAUAUAUAAAUGAGAUUUGGUUUCCCAGUAUAUACUGGGAACACUGAACAGGUUUCAAUUAAUAACCUAUUUCAUUUUGAAGCAUCAUAGUUUAAAGGACCUACAGAGAAUAUUGAGAGCAAAAAGGAUUAUUGACUGCUUGACUUAAGUAGAAAUUUUUAGCUCUUAUCCUAGGAAAAUAUUUUAUCUAAACCUACCUAUUUAGAGAUUCAGGUUAUACAGAUCAUUAAGCUCUUCAGUCUUUUCAACUUUACAAAAGAUAUGGAAUUGGAAAGAUUCUGCACUUGGCAUCAGUGAGUUCAUAGUGGGGAAGUUGUUGGAUUUUAUAGCUUAUAAAGUUAUCUCAUCCAGCAUUUCAUUUUACAGAUUUGGAAAUGGAAACCCAAAAGUUGAAGUGAUUUGACCAGAGUCUCAAAAUAUUGGGACCUACUCUCUAAUUCCAGUCUAUUAAGCUAUAGUGGCCUCUCUGUUUAGAUGUGACACUUUUUUCUAGUAUUGAGGUUAUAUAUCUAAAUAUGACAUUUUAUUUCCUUAGAAGAAAAUAUUGUUUCUCUAUAGCAUCUAUUAUCUGUGAACCUAUAUGUUUGUUUUGAAAUCUGUUGCAGAAAUGUGCUUUUCUUUUAAUGAACCAAGCAGAAUAAAUUCAAUUUUAACUUCAAUGGUUUUGUUGGGAAAUUUUUCUGUACCUCCUGGAUGUAAUUUAAGAUACCCUGGAAUGAUAUAAAACCAAGGUUGUGAAUUCCUGAUAGAGAAAAUGUUUACCAUUGAGAAUAUAGUAUGGAAUAAAUAUAUAGCACUUAUAGUUAAUAUGAUGUAAAUAAAGAACCUUUGCUUUACAAAAUAUAUUGAAUUCUCUAAUAAAGAGAUUAUAAAAUUUCUAUCAAUUGUGAGACAUGAUAUAUUACUAUCUAGUGAAUCCUAUUAUCUCACUAUUAGGAAGUUUAUUAAGAACUACAUAAUAUUACAGUAAUUUUUAUAGGAGUUUAGUUUUAUAGGAAUUAAUUGGUUUUUAUACUCUUCUACCAUAUCUUUACUUUUAUCUCAUUGCCCAAUUUUAGUUUUCUCUGUGGCUUUCCCUUUCAUCUGUUCUCUCCCUUUUUCAUUAUUUGUCUUCUAAUCUGUUUAGGACCUAACAGGUCUUCCCUGUGGGCACCCACUUAAAUUGUCUAAUUUAUUUGACCCUUCUUUUUACCUUCCUUAUUCCCUCAUCUUUCUAUUUUUUGCAAAAUGGUAAUUGUAGUUGUAGCACUUUGGGCAGUUAGUAAAUAUUGACUCAUGAUUUACUAUACAUUUAAAAAUUUUUAAUUCUUUCUGUGUACAGAUGGCCCCAUCACAGUGAUAAAUGUUCCCUAGAUUUUCUCCCUUUAAGGUUACAGUGUAAUUCAUUGAAAUUAUUAGUGAAAUUUGCCAAUGAAUAUAUAUUCUUAAUAGGGAGAACUUGCUUCGGAGGAUCGUUCCUAGAGUAGGUUAGAAUGAUUUGGGUGAAGUCACAUAUACUCUGGCAUGGAGCAGAUGUCUUCCAGAAGAUCUUUCUAGAUGAAGAAUUCUAUAUUUGACCAUGUUUAGGGUAGGAUGUGAAUAUUCUAGUGACAGCUAGACUUUGCUUGGCAUGUUUUAAGUUGACAUUUUUCUCUAGAGUUAACAAAUGCAUUUCUUGAAAUGAUUAUUUGGGGAAAAUUUUUUAUUGUAAAAUGUAAAAGUUCAGCAGUUUCAAAGUUAGAAAAUAAUACAAUAUCUGAAAAAGCCUGCCUCUGUUUUGUUGAAUUUCAAUUUUGUGAAUCCCAUGUCUACUCUUAAUUUUCUAGCAUUACUUGAAAUUUCGCAUUAGACAUAUUAUAAAUUGGCACACAGAAGAAUAUGAAUGAUACCCCUUCUGAGGCAAGUUGAGUUUUGAAAAAUUAGAAAUGGCUUUGUCUAUUAUUGUCUUGGAAAAAUUAAUCCGAGCUUUUAAAAUAAAACAUCUAUAUAGAUAGUCAAGUUAUGUGAAAUCUCUACAAUCUAAGCUAACCUUUAAGUUUAAGCAGUUUAGACAAAAAAAAUGGAAUAGGUGUGAGGGAAAAUGAUCUUUUUCCAUUGUAGGUUCUUUUUUUUCCCCAUCUCCAUUUCCAUUCUUUGAUUCAGUUGGAGUAGUAUAUGAAGUUAUUGACUCUUAGAUGUCUGACCUGAUUUAUUUAGGAUUCUCUUCCAACAAUGGAGCUCAAAACUCACCCAUGAUAUAUCUGUUCAGCUUUUGUCCAUAUCAUUUCACCCAGCAGGUUGGAAUUCUUCACUUUGUCCACACAUUGGGAGGAUAUCAUUAUGACUGACUAUUCAGCUGUCAUCCAUCACCCUUACUAGUAACAGUAGAACAGAUGAGAAUGUUUUUUGCCCAUCAGAAUAAAAAAAGUUCUACUGUAUACUUCCAAUGUAUUUUGAGUGGUUUAAUUUAAAUUACAAGUAAUAAGGUGUGGAGAGGCCUGGAUAUUUGUGACUCACUGACUUUUUAUGAUAUUUUUGGCAAAUUAUUUAAUCUUGAAGCUUCUUUGGUCCAUUGGGUGAAGGAGGAAAGGUGAGGUAGUAGACAUAUUGUAGUCUUUUUUAUAUUAUUCUACUCUUAGUGACCAUCAACAAAAACUUUAAACACAUAGGCAAGAAUAAGAAAAAACCCUCAGUAACUUUUAAAAGUUAAUUGAAAUAAGAAAUCAAUAUAGAAAGUAACCUUCUCCUUCCACCUAUAACUUGGGAAUUUUUAGCUAAAAGAAGACAAAGUUGCCCCAAGGACCUGAUAGUCUUGGCUUCCCUGACCCAAGCUUCCUGGUCAUGCAGGGACAUAAAAAGUUCCAACUUUGUGGAGGUUGGACCUCUCAGCCUUGAUGGAUGCCUAAGACCACUCCUCACCUUACCCUGCCUAAACUCAUUUUAUGUUGGAAACACUGGGCCCUUAUCCAAAGAAUCUGAGCUAAAUCUCCUUUUGUAAAUGUUCAAUGACUUUUUAAUGCCUUGUUUCAUCCUAACAUUGAAUCUCAAUUAAGAGGGUGCUGGCUUUAGAGCUCAGCCUCCAACAUUAAAUGCCCUGUUAUGUCUCCAGAGGAGGUUGACAUCUUGACUGACUUGGAAAUGUUAGGAGGCAGGGAAAGACAGUGAGAGGAGAAAGAAAUUGGAUUUUCAGGUUAGCUGAAUUUUUCAUUCAAGGGUCCAGAAAUCCUAAAAAAAAAUUAUAAAGUGGGAAUUCUUGAUCUUUUUUGGAGUAAUGGACCACUUGGCCGAAUGGGAAAACAUGAACUCCUCAGAAUGUUUCUCAAUUCAUAAUAAAAUACAUAGAAUUACAAAGGAAACUAAUUAUAUUGAAAGUUAUCUCAGUAGUUAAAAAAAAGUUUAUGGGCCCCCACAUUAAGUACUUCCUGUUUAAAUAUAUACUUUACUAGUGUAGUAGGAAUAAUAAAUUGUAGUGAUCUUAAUUUAAUCCUUCUUUGAGGCUCUUGUAAUACCAGGGCAUGCUUUCAUGGAAAAUGUACUAAACUUGAAAUUUGGUUUCUGGUCUUACUCUGUGGCCUGUGCCAUGAUCAGUUACACAGUAAGCAAUAAUACGGUUCUAAACCCAAUUCUUCUUAUGAAAAUUCAUUGCUCUUUAUACCUAUCACAAAUUUAUUCUCUUUGGACCUGUUUUUUUUUUUACACCAUCAAUGAAAUGGGACAUGUUAAGACACCUAUUUGUUUUAUGGCUAAUAAUGUUAACCUUGUUUAAUUUUAGUUAGCUAUGUCCACUGUGAGUCAUUCCCUCAGGAAGGGUGGUGGUAGUAAUUAGAACCUGCUGGAGCAAACACCAUUACAACAUGCACUCAUUCUGUAAAAGGCAAAGAAGGGAGGGCAUUGUAUUGUUGCUUGUGACUUUGCUCAAUGGUACUACAAAGAAAUCCUUACUACAGAAAAGACAACCUAGCAAGGGACUGACUGCUCUGAAGAUGGAGACAGAUUCAUACCAAAUGAAUUCAAGGCGUUACUGUUAACUAUAAAAAAUCAUACAGUUGUGUGAUGUGGUGUUUAAUCAGUGUAAUGUGACUUUUUAAAAUUUCAUCUUAGCUGCUUUAAGUAUUUUAUUUUAAGAGCUCUUAUACGUACUAAAUAGAACUUUUGAUUUUUGUUUUCUAUUUGGUAUUUAGUUUGCAUUUCAUGAAUAAAUUGGAUAAUAUAUAUUAGUUAUAAGGAACUACAAUCUAAUGUUUUGAGAGAGGGAAUGGGGUCUUCCAGGAAAGCUUUAAUGGAGAUUUAAGUCAGGAAAAAAGGUUUCAAUACCACCUCUAAGGAAGUUAUUUAACUUCUCUAAGCCUCAGUUUUCUAAUCUAUAAAAUGAGGAGGAUUGGAUGAGGUGGCCUCUAAGGCCUAGCACAAGUGCCAUCUCCAUGAAAAAAGCAGAAUUUGAAUAAGCAGAGGAGGGGCAUACCUAGUAAGGUGGGCAGUAUAUCUUGUUGAUUCCUUUCACUAGAAGCUUCAGUAAAACCCCCCAUUUUCUCUAGGAUAAAAUACAAACUCAUCUGGUUAACAUUUAAUACCUUUAACCAUUUGAUGACUGAUUAUUAUUAUUUCCUCUUAUGCACUUUCUAUUUUAAGUAUUCUCUUUGGACCUGUUUUUCUCACCGUCCUUGCCUUUAUCUCCCUUACCUGACAUACUUUCCCUACUAGCCUCCCUACUAGAUUUUGGAAUCUCUAAUUUCCUUCAGGGAGGUCAAAUACCACUUCUUACUUGGAGGCUUUUCCUGAUCCUUCUAGUUGGUGGUCUUGCACCAUCCCCUAAUCUCACAAUUGCUUGGUUUGUAUUUUGUUUCUCCCUCAGUUGCAUAUAAGCUCCUUAAGAUCAGGCACUGUUUUGUGUUGCCAGCUCCAAGCGCUGUCUUGGAAUUAAAUUGAAUUGGGUCAUAAUAAAAAAGGUUAAUAUUUCCAAACAAAGAAAAGGAGUAUAGAUAGAUAGGUAGGAUGGGAGCAAUUUAUACAAAACCCUACUUUAAAACUUAAUGCUUUGGGGGUAAUUUUGAUGAAAGCAGUGUUUUAGGAAAGUAUGGUAGUACUAUGAAGAAUGAAUUACUGUGUAGGAGAGGAAACCAUCUAGGUAUCUCUUCUAAUGUUCUAGGCAUGAGGUGAUGAGGGCUUGAUAGUAUGAGAAUAUUGAAGUGAUAGUUAUGAAAGACAUUUUAAGGGCAUUGAACACAAUAAGGUCUUGUGUGAUCUUGGCUGUUUCCUUGGUACUCAAACUCCUUUCUAUUUUUGCUAAAUACAUUAAUAUAUAUUUUAUAAAAAGGUAACUUAAAUUUGAUGAAAGAACAUGUGUGAGUGUGUGAAUUUCUCACUUGUGUUCUUACAAAGUUCUGUUGCUCUUGUAAUAGAAGUCUUGUUUCUUUUCAGCCCACUUGUGAUGAAUUUCUUGAUUUCUGAUUCUCAAAUUAUAAGGAAUUUGAACAUUGAUCAUUAACAAUUUGCAUUUUCUUAAAAAAAUUAUCCGUCCUCUGUAGAGGAAUAUGCUACUUUGUAACCAUGAAAAUGUGGUUUGCCAAGACUGAAUUGCCAAAACUGUAAAGGUUUCGGCCAAACUGUAGAGAUAAUUUUUAGUGUCUUGAUUUUAAAUCUAAAAUUAAGUGGUUGCUAUGGGAAAAUUCCCAAAUAUGAAAAUAUCCAAGUCAGCUGGGUUUUAUGGAGAAGAUUUUAACUAAUACAAAUGAAGGAAUUAAGGGAAGGAGAGAGAGAGAGAGAGAGAGAGAGAAUGAAUAGUAGAAUAUAGUAGAGCCUACUAUACUACUAUAGUAAUAUAGUACUAUGAAUAGUAUAUAGUAGUAUAGAAUAGUAUUCUACUAUUUCUACUACUAUAGUGAGCCUAAGAGAGAUCAAGUCAGUCUUUAUCACUCACCACAAGAUUGUCUCAAGCAAGCUCCAGCCCUCCACUGAACUCCUGAACUGAGUUCAGAGUUCCAACUGAAUUCAAUUGACCUCCUUUUAAAGAGAAUUUUCUCUUAUGUCACCUCCUCUAAAUUUUCACAUCUAUCAAUCAUAGUAGACGCUUUUUCCCAGGCCUGCCCGUUCUUAGUUCUCACCACUCUUUAGUUCUCACCUUCUCUGGGUAGAUUAUAUCCUCUUAGUACUUCACACCUCUUUUGUUAAGCUUGCCUUUUGUAAGUUGCUUGACCUUUUAGGUAAUAAUUUAACCUUUAUAGGUACUGAGCACUUUUUUGUAUUAGAUCUAAAAAUAGACCUAGCUUAAGGUUUUAGCUUCACUAUGAGUUAGGGACUUUUCAUUGUUCAAUCAGGAGUUUUCAACUUUAUCUUCCCCUAAGGCACUGUCUGAGUAAGUUCUCAAUACAUUCCUGACCAAGUACCUCCAUUGUUAAAAAUGAGGAAUAGCUUAAUCAAAUCUUCUGAAGUAGAGUCUGACCAGUUUUAAGAUUCACAACUUAUUGCAUAUAGGCAGCUAUAUGGUAGAGUAGAAAGACUGCUGGGCCUGGAAUUAGGAAGACCUGUAUCCUGCCUCAGAUACUUCUUGGCUAUGUAAAACAUUUAAUCUCCAUCUCUCUCAGUUUCCUCAUUUAUAAAAUGGGGAUAAUGAUUAUAUCUACCUCCCAGAGCUCUUUUAUGAAUCAAAUUUAAUAAUACUUGUAAAUCACUGUUAACUUUAAAGCACUAGAAUAAAUGCAAUAUAGUAUUAUAUAUAUCCCCUUUUUUUUUCAGAUGUCCAAAAUGUACAUAUUUAUUACAAAUACUAUCCCCAAUCUUUUUUUUUUAUUGGUGGUUUUUUGUUGUUGUUGUUGUGCAUAAUCAUUAAAAAAUAAUCAAACUAAUUGAUGCAAUUGUUUGGUAGAAAUUUUAUAAUCCUUAAUUGAUAAAUAUAUUGUAUCUUCUACCAAUUUUUAAUGACUUUAUUUUAUUUUAUUUUAUUUUAUUUUAUUUUUUUUUUUUAAACCCUUACCUUCUGUCUUGGAAUUAAUACUGUGUAUUGGCUCCAAGGCAGAAGAGCAGAAAAGGCUAGGCAAUUGGGAUUAAGUGACUUGCCCAGGGUCACAUAGCUAGGAAGUGUCUGAGGCCAGAUUUGAACCUAGGACCUUCCUAUCUCUAGGCCUGGCUCUCAACUCACUGAACCACCCAGCUGCUCCUUUUAGUGACUUAAAAAAAAUUGGAUAAUCAAAAUUAGAAUUCAAUAUAGGAUACAAGGCAUUACACUAAAACAUUUUUCUUUCCCCAUACAGUUCUUCAGUUUUCACAAUAAUAUUUAUAUUCUUUGGUUCAGUUAAUUAAAAUUUAAUUUAUUUAAUCAUUUUAUCAAAUUUUAUUGAACCAUUGAUUUCACAAGUCAAAAAAUAAGAACCAAGAAAAUCUAACAAUUUCAUAAUUAGAUUUGGUUUCUGAGUUCUCACUUCUGUUUUUCCUAAGCAUCACCCUCUUCCAAGUUCCAGUUUUCAUAUGUAUUUUCUUUUGUACACUUUAAAAUUUAAAAGGGAAAUUCUCUCCUAGUCCUUAAAAAAAUUCUUUUAUAUUCUUUACUAUCUUUAUUCACUUCAAUUUUGUUAUGAAGUUACUUAUUCUUUGAAGUUCCCACUGGUAUUUUGAUUGAAAAUGCAUAAAAUAUAUAGCUUAAUUAGAAAAGUAUUGCAAUUUGUUGGAUCUGAUCAUGUAAAAGGACUUCCUUUAAAUUUGUUGAGUUCAUAGAUUUCUUUUAAGUUGUCUUGUGCAUAUUCAGCCCAAAUAUUUGGCACAUUUUGUUAGUAUUUUAAGUGAUAAUUCUAUUUCAAUAGAGUAAGAUUGCAAGGUAAGGAACUCAACUAGGAUUCAUUAAGAGGAUGUUAUUGUCAGGCAUUUUUUAUUACAGUCUCUUUGCCUGUUGCCUUUUAUUUAUCCUCUUUAAGACUAAAAAUCACUAUUUUCUCUUUUGACUUUCCUUAAUCCUUACUUGGUACUUUGAAUUUGUUUUCUUUUGUGUAAACAAAAUAAGUUCUUCACAGUGAACAUAGUUAUUUUGGGAUCCUUCUGGGAUAUUAGAGAAAACCUAGUUCUUACUUACAUGAACAGUUUUAUAAAAAAAAAAAAUGUCCCUCCUGUUUCUGAUCAUCUCUUGAUCAGAAUGCUUUCUGGGAACAAAUCAAACUUUUCUGCUUGACAUUUGUAGCCCUUCACAACUUAGAUCCAAUUUCCUAUUCCAAACUUAUAAUGCAUAUGUUACACUCCUUUCUGUCACUCUACAGGCCAGCUAAAUUGGCUUUCUUAAUAUUUCUCACACAUGUCAUUUCAUCUACUUCUGUGUAUUUUGCACAAUAUGACUCUCCAUCCUCAUUUCUGCCUUCUGAAACCCAUAUCUCUCCUAAAGGCUCAGUUCAAGGGCCAUUUGAUUUCUCCAGUUGGUUGGUGUGUCUCCCCUUUUCCCCCCAUUCAGGAGACUGACACUUCUAAUUUUGUAUCCAAAGAGCAGUGUAGUAAGUACAUAGUAAGCUCUUACUAGAGAUUAGGAUAUAUAUGCCUGAAAAUAUAUGAGAGACAUAGCAUCAUUUAAUUAAAUGUUCUUGGAAUAAACAGGCAGUUGACUGGAUCAUGGAUGAACCAAAGGAAUGUAGUAUUGGCCUGAGCUUUAAAGUGGGAUAGAAACAGAGUACUGGGGACAUCUGGUAUAGGCUGAUGACUAGAAUCUUUUAUUGAGAGUAAAAUAGACAGGAGACAAAGAAGAAUAUGAUGCAACAAUUCUAUAAACAUUUAUUAAGGGCCUACUGUGUACCAGGAUCAAUGCCAAGUGCUGGGGAUACAAAUAAGAAAAAGAAAGACAAUUCUUAUGUCUUAUCCCAGUACCCAGUUUGCUUUUACCACAACUACUUAAUGGAAAAGCAAUAUGUGAUCAUGAAAAGAACAUGAGGUUUGGAGUCAAAAGACCUAAGGUUGAGUCCCUGCUUUACUGCCCAAUUGACUGGGCAAAUCACUUAACCAUUGAGCCUUAGUUUUCUCAUCUAUAUAGAAAAGGGCAAUAAUAAUAUUUCUUCUAACUACUUUAAAGAAUUGAAAAAAUACUUUAAAACUCCUUAAAAGUGAUGUGAAUUGUUAUUUGUUCAGAUUCAUUUGUCACAAUCAGACUGCAAAAACAGAAAUUUAUGACUGGGGGAAAAUGGGCUAGUUACAUAGGGAAAGUGAGGAAUUACUGAUAGAUAAGUCUGCAUGCUUACUUAGUAUGCAUACACUUACAAGGGGACAGAAGUUUCCAACUAUGAUGAAUUUGGAAGGAUACAGGUUAGAGUUGCACAGGAUAUGUACAAUCAUAGAUGAGUCGUUAUAUGCAUUGUCAUUGGAAGUAAUAACACAUGUCAGGAGACCACAGGAUUCUUGAGAACAUAUUAAAGAAUUCUGUCUUUAUUACAUCUGAAACAAAUUGCCACUGUCCACUUCAAGAGUCAUGGGUUGAUAGGGGAAUCACUAGAUCAAGAAGCCAAAUAAAAUGGUGAGUGUCAUAAGUAAGUGAAUAUUUUUAUGCACAUGAUUAUAGAAGUAACUCUCCAAUAUUAAAGGCAAUAAUCUAGGAAGCUCUCCUUCUCUAUGAUGUAAUAAAUAUUUAUAUAGUGCCUAUGAUGUACCAUUUAGAGAUACUACUGAAGUAAUAGUCAAAGCAAAACAUAAUACGACUUCUUUUGGAGUGUCCCUUGAGGACAACUUUUUUUUUUUAACCCUUACCUUCUGUCUUGGAGUCAAUAUUGUGUAUUGGCUCCAAGGCAGAAGAGUGGUAAGGGCUAGGCAAUGGGGGUCAAGUGACUUGCCCAGGGUCACACAGCUGGGAAGUGUCUGAGGCCAGAUUUGAACCUAGGACCUCCAGUCUCUAGGCCUGGCUCUCAAUCCACUGAGCUACCCAGCUGCCCCCGACAAACUUUUUAAAAACAAAAUAAUCACUUGUUGAAUUGUAGGUGUAUAAUUUAACCAUUCCUGAAAAUAGAUGAUGAUCUAGAAUAAAAAAGCUUCCAUUUGUGUGCUACUGAUUUUGUAUUGAUACAUUUCAGAAGUGCUAUGUAUGAUUCCUUGUCUGUUAGAAUUCUUGAUUUUGAGAAGCUGUAAGUAUAAAUGUAAUUUAACUUAGGAAAAAUGCAACCUUGCAGAUUUUUAUGUAAAUAUAAAUAUCCUAUAAAGCUGUAGAUAUCCUACUUCACAAUAGUUCUAGGCAUAGGAUAUGGUAUGAACAAAGGAACAAAGAUGAGAAAGGGCAAACUAAGAUUGGAAAAUGGUAAAAAUAAGUCCAGAUUAACUGAAAUAUGUACGGAGUAGGUAGUUUGAGGUAAAAUCAGGGGAGAUAAGUAGUAUUGAGAUUAUGGACAAUCCUGGUUGUUGAACUAGGAAGUUUAUUGCUUAUUUGUUAGGCAGUGAGCAGAAUUGGAGCUUUACAUUCAGAAGAUUAUCAAGAAAAUAGUAUGCAGGAAGGAUUAGAGCAGGAAACACUUUUAAUAGUGAAAGGUAUAAGAGAUAGUUAUUUAAAUAGGAUUGUUUUAGAAGUAGAAGCUCGAUCUAUGGGUUGAAUUAAUAGGAUGGAUUGACUUUUUUUUUUUUACUAACUAUGAGACAAAGAAGAGAGAGGAACCCAGUAAGAUUGCCAUUUUGAGCCUUGAUAGUAUCAAUAAAAAUAGAAGCAGACUUUGGGGAGAAAAUCACAGACUGUGCUUGUUUUUGUGUAAUUUUGAAAUGAUGCUGUGUUUUCUUUUUGAGGUGAUAGGAACAAUGAAUUUAUUUGUAUUUCCUUGUCCCCACACCUCCCUAGAAUACAAGAUAAACUCCACAGGUAGAAGAACUAUUUUUAUAUUUCUAGAAUCUAGCAUUGUGCCUGGAACAUAGUCAGCAACUAAUAAAUGCUUAUUGAAUUAAAUUGCUGAAUUGGUAUUGAGUAAUGCUUGCCACAUAGAAGAUGCAUUUAAUUGGUUAAGUAGGUAGAGGGGAAAGAUAGCUAACCAAUGGUUAGAAAUUUGGAUUUAAAACUGAAAAAAUUACCAUGCAAUCAGGAAACUUGCUGCUCACUUAAAAGUUAGUUGUGGGUUUUAGAAUGGAUCAAUGAAUUUGAUGACCGACAAAUUCCAAAUCAGUAUGCAUGUGUAUUUUGGUAAUGUUUUGCCACAUUUAUUUUUGAGAAAUCAGGAGGAACUGAAUAUCUCAGAUCUAUGCAGAUUUUUGGCCCAAAGCACUUUAAAGUUAGAAAAACUUAGGGACCAUCCAGUCUUCAGUUGUAUAAUUUUCUUUUAUAUACAUUCUCAGAAUUUCUUUGCUGCAUUUUAUUUUGAAUUUUUUUAUUCCUUUUCCACUAUAAAUAAACCCUAGAAAUUCUAACCCCAAAAGUGAUAGAUUGGAUAAUAUAAGCUUCUUGAGGGCAGGUAUUGGUUUUGUUUUGUCUUGGUAACUGUUUUGUCAUUGUUGUUCUUCUUUCCAAGUCUUGGAGAAGGAAAAUUUCCCAAGGUCACAUAAGCCAGGAUUUGGAUCUAAGUCUUUUCUGACUCCCAAGUCCAGCAUUCUUUCUAUUAGACUAUGGUGACCUUGGGCAAGUCACUUAAGCUUAUUUGCUUUAGACUUUUUAUUUGUAAAAUGAAAGUAAUUUUUAAAAACCCACUAUUUCUUAGGGUUUUUGUGAGGACUAAAUGAUAUAAUUGUAAAGCCCUUUGAAAACUGUAACACAUUAUAUUAAGGCUAGCAUUAUUAUUAUUACUAUUUCUUCUUCCUCCUCCUUUUCCUUCACCCCUGAAUGUAGGGAAUUGAGAAGACCAAGAGACCAGGAAGAUCCCAGGAAGAUUAGUACCUACAAUUAGGGAUUAGUAGAGUGAAGGUUUUUAAAGUAGUGAAAGCCUUGGAUUGGAUCCAAGGAGGAAUCUGAUACCUUCAGUUGGUAACUAACUUCUCUGAAUUUGGAUGCUCUUAGGCCAUUGAUGGCAAACCUUUUAGAGGGGCAGGUGAGAAAUGUGAGAAAUGUCCUCAGGUGCAUGUGGAGAGGGAGAGUGAGAGGGAUGUAGCCUGGCCCCUCAUCCCUAUGGCUUUCUAGUAGUAAACUGGCAAACUCUGUGCUGGGGUGAUGGCUUUGCAUGCCCACAGAGGGGAGUUUGAGUGCCUCCUCUGACACAUGUGCUAUAAGUUUGCCACCACAGCUCUAGGCAGUUAGAUCUUUCAUAAUGGGGAAGGUGAAUUUAGUUUGGGAUAUGGUGGUGUAGUAUAAUGCAACAUAUAUAACAUCAGUAUCAAACAUUAUCCUUGGAAAUAUGGGACAAGAGUCCUGGGGGAUAUACAUAUCUAACACAUAUACACAUAUAUAAAAAUAUAAAUUUGGAAAUUACUUGCAUAGAGCUGGUUAUUGAAAGUAGAAUAGUAAAAAUCUCCAAGGAGAAAGGAGAGAGAACAGAUGGUCAAGAACAGAGCCUUUGGAGAUGCUCAGAUUGAAAGGGGCAUGGGAGGAGCAGAAGGAAGAAAGUUGAAUCUUGAUUUGGAAGGUGCCUCUCAGAGACCAGCUAAUCCAACUUAUACUCGAUCAAGAAUCCCCUUUAUAAUAUUCCUGACAAUUGGAGUCAUUUAGGCCUUUGCCUGAAUCCUUCUAGUGAGGAGAAACCUGAUAUUUCCCCAGAGUUCAUAAUUAUAAUAAUAAGGAAAAAAUAAUUUACAUCAAAUUUAAAUUUUCUACUUUGUAGCUUAGCAUCUGGUCUAUUCCACUAGUGGCCUAUCAGUUUCUUGCCAAGAAUAUGACUAAUGCAGAAUACAGGGGUAUUAUUACCUCCGUAGUGCUAGCAAUUAUGGUUCCUCAAUUUACCUUGUUUUGAUUUUUGUUGGGAUUUUUUUGGCUUCCAUAGCAUAUUGUUCAUUCAUAUUCUUCAAAUCUGCAAAAAUCCCUGGUUUUUCAGAUGAAUUGUUAUCUACUUCCUUCUUCCCUAUCUUCUUGUGAAGUUAAUUUUUUUAUUCCAUUCAUAAGACUUUACACUCAUCUCUCUUAACCAUACCUUCAAAUUUCAUGUCAUCUUCAGAUUUGAUAGGUGUGAACACUGCCUUUGUCUUUAUCCAGGAUCUUGAUAAAAUUAAACAGUUUAGAGCCAUUAAUGAUACUAUUGUAUGUGUAUAGCCAUUCAGCCUUUUUAUCUAGUUGUAUUAUGUAUUGUAUGUAUUUAUCUAGUUGUAUUGUAUUAUGGUAUUCUGUCUCCCCAUACAUACAAGAAUAAUAUGAGAUACUUUGUCAUCUACUUUGUUAAACUCUUUAAGUUAAUUGUAUCUUUAAUAUCUCUUUAUCUGUCACUCUAACACUGUUAGAAAAGGAAAUGGAUUCAUAAUAUCUUUUAAAUAUAUUGAUAGAAAUCUAACACACAUUAAUAUAUACCUAGAAGCUAAUUCCUUUUUGAUAGAGGGAUUUUGACCAUUAGAAACUAGAAUAAUUAUUAAGUUGUUACACUGAUAAUCACCACUUUUCUAAAUAGGUAAACUAGUCACUUAGAUAUUUUAUAUUAUUUUUCAGGCAAAAAUCAAAUGAAUGUAGACAACCAAAGAUUUUUCUUAAAGCCUGAGGAAAGUUUAGGUUUUCCUAUAUCCUUUUUGGAGCAGAUGGUUGUGGUGGGCAUGACUUGCCCCAUAUAAAGUUUCUUUCAUUGAUUGCAAAUUCUUUUUUUUUUUUUUAAUAAUUUUUAUUUGGAAUAUUUUCCCAUUGUUACAAUUGUAAGUUCUUCAUAAAAAAUUUACUGAACUCAUUGAAAGAAUGCUAAAGGUAUUUGAAUAAUAAUUUGAUAAUUUCAGUUUAAUAAACUUUUAUUAAGUGUACCACAGAUUAUGCCAAGUCUUUGGGAUAUUAAGAAAGGCAGGGACAGCUGGGUAGCUCAGUGGAUUGAGAGCCAGGCCUAGAGACUGGAGGUCCUAGGUUCAAAUCUAGCCUCAGACACUUCCCAGCUGUGUGACCCUGGGCAAGUCACUUGACCCCUAUUGCCUAGCCCUUACUACUCUUCUGCCUUGGAGCCAAUACACAAUAUUGACUCCAAGACAGAAGGUGAGGGUUUCAAAAAAAAAGAAAGAAAGAAAGGCAAAAAGACAGUCCUUGCUUGAUCAAUGGGAGAGACAACAAACAUGCAAACAAUUAUCUACGUACAAGAUAUAUAGGAUAAAUUGGAAGUCAUCAGGAAAGAUAGGGUACUAGAAUUAAGGGGAUUAUUGGGAAAGACCUUCUAUAGAAGGUAGGAUUUUGAUUUAAGUCUUUAAAGAAGCCAGAGGAAGCUGGGAGAUAGAGAUGAUGAGGAAGAACAUUCUAGCAUUGGGAGCAGCUAUUUAAAAUGCCCAGUUGGGGGAUAGAGUGUCUUAUUCAGUGAACAUUAAGAUGUCCAGCAUCACUGGACCACAGUUUUUGGAGGGCCAGCGAGGUGUUAGGUAUAAGAAGACUAGGAAAAUGAAGGGACAACAAAUUAUGAUUGGAUUUGAAUGGUGCACAGGAGAUUUUAUAUUUGAUACUAGAGGUGAUAGGGAGCCUCUGAAGCUUAUUGAAUGGAUGUGUCUGUGGGUAACAAGGUCAGACCUCUAUUUGAAAAAUUUUUUUGGCAUUUUCAAUUUCUUUUAUUACCAUAUAGUGUCACAUUCCUCUCUCCUCCUCCCAGAAAGCCGUCCCAUAUGAUAACUAGUGUUUUUUGGAAAGGAGGGGGAAAAAGUGAGCAAAAAAAGACCAAAAACAUGUGUAGUGUAUAACACCUGUAGAUUUCCCACCUCCAUGAAAAGGGUAGUUUAGGACACGUCUUCUCAUAUCUCUGAUUCUCACUUGCUAUUUAUAAUUUCAUUACCUUUUGAAUUUCUUUGGUAUAUCAUUGUUCUGUCCAUCAACAUUUUUGUAGUUUCUGUGUAUAUUGUUUUUGAGUCUGCUUACUUCACUGCAUGAAUUCAUAUAGAUUUUUCCAUGCGUCUAUGUAUUCAUAUACAUCAUUUCUUUUUACAGCACAGCAAUGUUCCAUUAACAUUCAUGUGCUACAAUUUGUUUAGCCAUUUCCCAGUUGAUGGACAUCCACUUUGUUUCCAAUUCUUAGCUAUCACAAAAAGUACUGUUAUGAAUAUUUUAAAGUAUAUAAUCUUUUUUUCUUAUUGAUGAUUUCCUUGUGGUACAAGCUAUGCUCUUGAUAAAUGAUGGUACUCUGGAGGGAAGGAGGAUCCUCAAAGAAUGUAGAGAUGAAUUUUAAGCCUUUUGAGACUCCAUUGCCUUAUUGAUGUUAAUUGUUUCAGUCUCCCCAAUAGUAAAUAGUCCCCAAUAGUAAAGAAGUCUCUAAUGCAAUUUAAAUACAAAGUCCAUUUCAAGUAUUUGCUCACAUGUAAAAUGGGUACCUUCCAUCAACAGUGAUUGACUGUAUCCUGUGGCAUGCAGUUGUUUUGUUGUUGUUGUAUUCCUCCUAUGACUAGAUCGGAGAUAAUACCAUUAUAAAAAUACAUAGACAAGUUAAACGCUAUUUUAGCUGACACAUUGUUAUGGGAUGUGAACUGUGAAUUUUUGAUUUUUUUUUUACAUUUUAUUGUUUUUCUUUUUAUUUUGUAAUAGGGUUUAUACCCAAAGCUUUAGACUAUGGAAACCUGCCAUUGAUUAUUAAAUAUUUUGAGACCCUGACUAAUAAUUAUGUCUGAUUCCAGAAGAAGGGAUCACCAUAGAACCACUGUAGGGUGCCAAGAAGCACAAGUCAGAGAGACCACCAAUCCCUGUAGGAUUGAUGAGAAUUUGUGCCACAACAGAGGACUUGUUUUGAGGUUCAAGGAAGCAGCUGUUUGACAUCAGAAGUUGGACUCUCCCAUACCAGAUUUCCUACUACAAGUACCUUAGUUUGGCUGCCAUUUUGGUUCCCCUAUCCCUGAGAGUGAAGGAAAAAUCAGACUAGGGAAUCACAUUCCCCCUUUACCUCAAAAUCUAGUCCCUUUUCUCUUUAUAGUAUGGAACUUUUCUGUAGUCAUGGCUGCCAAUGGAUAAACUGCUAUAUUACUGCAAUUGUCCUGUAGACUUAUAGGACUUAAAUCACUUUAAUUGGGCUCUGAUUCAAGGACCUGUCAUAUUCAAGGACCUGGCUUAUUCUUGCUUACUCAGAAUUUUAUAUAUACAUAGAUUUUGAUUACACCCCCCCCCCAAUUUUCUCAAAUUUGUUUUAAUGUUUUUGGUUUUUCUUUUGAGAAUUGAUUCAUAUACCCCAUAACUCAGGCAUGUAUCCUGGGUUGAUCUGGGUGUUGGUUAAUGCCCCCCUUGGGGGGGGGGAUUGUAUAAUUUUUGUAAAAAUCCAAGAUUUAAAUUUUUUAAAAGAAAUUUUCAGGAAAAGAAGCUUGUUAACUUCCCCGAAUCAAGAAAGUGAACUCUUUUUAAAGAAAGCUCCAUAAAGAAGCCUUUGGAAACCAUACACUGCAUCAGAAUAUCCAGAAUGAACUUUGGGAUAUAGUGAAUUGAACCAAAAGGGGGUUGAACCCAUUUAUUUUGAAUGUAUACUCUUAUGCCAAAGGGGAUUACCCCCAAUUGGCUUUUUGUCAGUGUGCCUAUCAUAUCAUUGUUUUUUUGCUUUCUUUCUCUUUUAUUUCCCUCUUAUCUCCAACUAUUGUAACUUCCCAUUAGAAAGUGCAAUAUUGUAUGCACCUCUAGCUAGAAGAACUUUACAGGUAUAAGCUGAUUAUGUGAAAUGAUUCAUUGGGGAGACUAAGAAUAUAAAUUUGGAAGAUUUCAACAUGUUCUUCUCCCAAUAAAAUCAUAGGGGAAUUGCGAAAAGGAAUUUUUUUUAUCUUAACUUAAGUACUUAGCGUGCUCCACCCUUUAGCUUAGCCAGUCAGGAACUUGAGAAUCCUUUUGAUAAAAGUUCACACCCUCAGAGGAUGAGAGGUGGAUCCCACAGGCACUGCUCCCUGGGCAGUGCAUGGCAAAUUAAGAAACUUUGAUUGGUUCCUGAGAUGUGAUAGACCAGCUCAUAGUGAAAGGAAAGUGAAACCAGAGAGGCAGGAAAUGAUGUGGAGAAAACUGCUUAUAAAAAGCCAGCUGAGGGAAUUCUGAUUAAUUUUUCUGCUGCCUUGGUGGCUCUUGCUGAGGGAGGACUUCUGCAUUGGAGGGUCUUCUGCUUUGGAGGGAUUCUUCUGCUAUGGACUUCUGUGUUGGAGAUUGAUUCUGCACUGGUAAAACUGGAGAUCAGGGCCUGAGGGAGCUUUUGUUAGAGUUGAGCUGGAUUUCUUUGGAUCAGCAAUUAUAGGGUAUUUAGCUAGGCUGUAUUUUCUCCUUCCUUCCUAUAUUUCCCUCUUGACUAUCUCUUCCCUGCUGUAAUAAAGCUAUUAACAUAACAGGGGACCACAACAAUCUUUUUUUUGACUCAUAAAUUUAGUCAAAACAUUUUUAACCCUUAUAAAGUCCAGUAAUGGAGUCUGAUUCAAAGGGUAUGACCAUUUUAUUUUAGUUACUUUAUUUGGAUAAUUCCAAAUUGUUUUCCAAAAUAGUUGUAUGAUUUCACAGCUCCACUAACAUUGUACAUUAUUCAACAUUAUGACUUUCUCCAUCUUGGUUCUGGUAUAUCACGGGUCAGCAUAAGAAAUUAAGUGAGAAUUUUGUGGAAGCUACAUAUGACUUGAAAGGCCAGCAGAUGACUGGAAAAGUCUAGAAACUCAGAAAUGUACAAAAUAAAUAUAAUAUCAACAUUUUAUCUUUUUAAUACCAUAAGUUUGCACAAUUUAUUUUUUGAAGUUAAAAUAAGUAAAAAGUUUGUGAAAAGAACAUGAAAGCCAAAAGCCUUAUGUGGAUUUACCAGAUCAUGGGGUGCUGUUCUCCUAACCUCUAUACUGUUGAAAGGACAUCUUAAUGUGCCUAUCCUUCCACAUCCCCUCCAACAUUGACCAUUGCUAAUUUUUAUCGUUUUCACCAAUUUGAAGGGUGUGAGGUAAAACAUCAGGAUUAUUUUGUUUGACUUCCCUGCCCUGCCCUGCCCUCCCCUCUUCUCUUUAUUUUAAAUGUUUUUCCCUGGUUACAAGGUUCAUGUUCUUUCCCUCUCCUUUUCCCUCCGGGAGCCAACAAGCAAUUCUACUGAGUUAUACAUGUAUUAUAGCUCAAUAUCCAUUUCCAUUUGUUAUGUGUAAAAGGUAUCUGUGGGAGUUUGAUGAAAUUGUGGAGAUCGGUUUGGUAUACCACCGACACUAUUUGGAGGAAAGUUAGAGAUAGGAAAUAGGUGAGUUUCUCAUAACUAUGCUUAAUUCAAACCCUAAUCUAAAAUCUCUAAGAAAACCCUAAAUCUAAAACUCUUCUUGCCUAACCUACACUCUCUAAUAUUAAAUUUGCUAUCUUUCUACCUAACUAAUAAAGUAAGGCUUUAUCUCCUCCAAUCUCCUACAACUAGUAUUUGAAAUCCAGACUGUCAGUGGUGAAACUGCCUGUCACAGUGACACAGACAGUCCUCCUGCACCCUCAGGUUCUGAGUGCUGAGUGCUGAGCAGAAACCCCCUCAGAGAUAGACUUCUUCUCAAAUCCUUAUCUAAAUUCAACCUCUCAACAGUUAAUUGUCAGAUCUUCUUGACUGAGAGAGAAACCUAAACAGCAACCCCAAAGCUCCUGUUCCCUGAGAAGCCAGAGAAAAUGGAAUUCUUUCUUAACUGAAAUGUCCUUAUAAAAUGUUCCCUUAAAGAGACAGCAUGAGAUCAUAUACAUUCUACUCUUAAAGAGACAGAGUGAAAUUAAAUAACUCCCUCUAACAUAGAAACUUCUGCUCCUAAGGAGACAGAGUGAAGUGAAAUAAACUCCUUAUAACAUAUAUUAUUCAUUUUUGUAAUAAUCUUUUAAAAGGUAAAACCCCACAAUCUAGUCCCAUAUAAACAAGUGAUAUAUUAUAUGUUUUUCUUCUGUUUCUAUUCCCACAGUCCUUUCUCUCAAUGUGGAUAGCAUUCUUUCUCAUAAGUCUUUUUGCCAUUUAUUUAUUGGAGGAUAUUCCCUAUUAUCUAUUUUUCUAUCUAUUUUAGAUACCAAAUCUUUAUCAGAGAAAUGGUACAAAGUUUUUCCCCCCUCAUUCUUCCAUUUCCCUUUUAAUCUAGAUUGAUUUAUGUUGUCUGAAGAAGCCUUUAAGAUUCAAGUAAUCAGUUACCUAUUUUGCCUUUCAAUUACCUCUCUCUCUUAUAGAGUACCAGUUCUGGAGUCAAGAAAACUUGAAUUUAAUUAAAUCUGACUGUAGACACUUACUAGUUGUGUGACACUGAACAAGUCACUUAACCCUGUUUUGCCUCCUUUUCUCCAUUUAUAAAAUGAGCUGGAGAAAGAAAUGGCAAGGUAUUGCAGUUUCUUUGCUGAGAACCCCCCCCCCCCUCCCCAAGGUGUCAUUAGAAUCAGAUAUAACUGAAAAACAACUAAACAAAAUCUUUUUAAUUUUGGUUAAGAAUAAAUUUCCUACCCAUAUGUGAGAGGUAUGUGAUCUGUUUUUCUAAUUUUUUAUAGAAUUAGUUUUAAUUUUACACAUUAAGAUUACACAUCCAUUUAGAAUGUAUUGUGGAAUAUGAUGUAAAUUGUUGAUUCAAGCUCAGUUUCUGCAAGACUGCUUUUCAGUUUUCCUGGCAGUUUUAAUCAAAUAGUGAGUUUUUCCCUAAGUAAAUAAUGUUUUUGAGUUUUUUCUCUAUCUUUCUUGCCCAGUCUGUUGCAUUACUCUUAUCUCUCUGUCUUCUAACCAAUACUAAAUGGUUUUGAUGACUGCUGUUUUUGAGGUCUGGAGUGCUAUUUGCCCUUUCAUUCUUGCUUUAUCUUUUCAUCAUUUCUCCUGAUAUUCUAGAUCUUUUUUCAAAUGAAUUUUAUUCCGUAAAGUAUCCUAUUCUAUAAAUUUGAUCGGAUUAGCAUUAAAAGUGUAAAUCAGUUUUAGUAGUAUUGUUUUUGUAAUGUUGAACCAUCCUUGCAUUCCUGGUUUAAAUCCAUCCUCGGUGCUAUUCUCUUUCCCUCAGACUUCUUGGGAGUGUUUCACUGUUUCUCCUAUAUCACCUUCCAUCCCUGACCUCCCCCUCCCCCAUCACAUAGUAUCCUGGUCUGGUAACCUGGCCCACUCAGUCCCUCUGUUCCUCAGUUCUCUGGCAUGGUAUUAGCAGUUUAGGGUUUUGUAGCCCUGCUGCUUCUGAGUUGAAGGUCCAGGGGGCUUUUGGUCUUAAAGGACUAUGGAUAACCUGAUUGUUGAGGACCAAGUAAAUGUCCACAGCUUGGAUCCAGGGUCUUGAUGGCACUGGAAAGAGGAAGAGAAGACCAAAGUUUAGGGGUGGCUUUUGCUAUAAGUCUGUGCUAAGUUUUUGUGUCUGCUAAUGCAGCCUGGUGUUUACAUGGCAUGGGACAUAGAAGAGGGAUGCUGAGUGAGUUGAGGAUUAGUAAACUUCACUUAAGUUCAUGGGUUUUUUAUUUUCUUUUGGAUUCUGGGAUUUGGAUUCUAGAACAUGGAGACAGCUGAAAAUGCUUUUAUCUUUGAUGCAUAUUUUCUUUUUUUGGAGAGGUUUGAAAGGUUGUGGGGAUCUAAGAAAAUGUCUAGUCUGCCAUCUUGUUGCUCAUGUGGCCUGAAAGUUGUCCCAGACCUGCACUUUAGAAAGAUCCUUAUGACAGUUGAGUAGAGAAGAUAGAGCAAGGAGAGACUUUGGGCUGACAGAUCAACUAUGUAGCUAUUGUUUAGUCCAGGCGUGAGGUAAUGACGGCAAGCACCAGUAUGCUUGACAGGAUCAGAAGAGAGAGACUACAGAGGUAAAAUGGACAAAUCUUGGCAAUGAUGAUGUGGGAUUCAAGAGAAAAUGAGGAGUUGUGAAGAUAGGAUUAACUCUCCUUACCUUCUAGAAUCUAAUAAGGAUAAUACCAAGGUUGUAAGCCUGGUUCACUUGAAGGAUGAUGGUGAUAUCCUUUACAGUAAUAGGAAUUUAGAGAGAAGAGAGGGUUUGGGGAUAAAGAUAAUAAGCUCAGUUUGGGACAUCUCAGGUUUAAAAAUGUCCAUUUCUAAUUGGAGAUAUAAGACUGUAGGUAAGCAGCAAAGUUAGGACUAGAUAAUUACAUUUGAGAAUCAUCAACACAGAGGUUAUGAUUGAAUCUACAGUAGCUGAUAACCAAAUAAAAUAGUUGUAGGGAGAGACAAAAGAAUAGGGCCCAGGACAGAACCAUGUAGAUCACUAUGACCUAGAUGAAGAUCCAGCAAAAGAGAGAGAUUGUCAGGUAGUAGGAGAAGCAGAUAGGGUAGUGUCAUCAACACCUAAAAAGAGAAUAUCAAGUUAAAAAGGGUGCUCUACAGAAUCAAAACUUGUCAUGUGGUCAAGAAGGAUGAACACUGAAAAAAACCCAUUAGUUUUGAAAAUUAAGAAGUCUAUGGAAACUUUAGUGAGAGCAUUUUCUGUUGAAUGAUGAGGUCUGGAAGCCAUACUAUAAAACAGUGGUGUCAAAGUCAAAUAGAUAAGGAUCCCUUCUUGUUAUGUAUUUUUUUAGAAAGCAACAAAUUAACAUUAUCUGUGUUGUGCUGUAUUUUAAUUUAUUUUCUUAAACAUUUUCCAAUUACAUUUUUAUCUGGUAUGGGCUACACUUGGGAGUUUUACAGGAGCCUAUGAGUUUGACACCUGUGCUGUUAGAAAUUUUAAGAAGAGAGUAAGAAAGGAAGUAAUCAUCUGUUGUAGAAAGAAGAGAUCUUUUGAGGGUUUCUUCUCAGGUAGCAGAUCAGAUUUUAUUGAAUCAGAAAAUUAAUUAUGUAAUCUCUGCUGAUUCUCUGGCCCUUUCUUCAUGGCCUAUGCUCUCCCCUGCUCCCAAAUUCUGUAAUUACUUUACCAUUGGUAGAAAUGGUCUCAAUAGCAUUGUAAUGUAACUCAGUGAAUAAUUUUCUCUAAUGGACUGCCAUUAAGAUUAAAGAGGUUCGUGGGCAGCUGGGUGGCCCAGUGGAUUGAGAGUCAGGCCUAGAGACUGGAAGUUUUAGGUUUAAAGUUGGCCUCGACCACUUCCUAGCUAUGUGACCCUGGGCAAGUCACUUAACCCUCAUUGCCUAGCCUUUACUGAUCUUCUGCCUUAGAACCAAUACAUAGUAUUAAUUCUAAGAUGGAAGUUAAGAAUUAAAAAAAAAAAUAGAGGUUCUCCAUAAUUCCUACUAUCAGUGAUAGUCGUCUUUGAAGUAAUAUGACAAACAUAAUUGAUCUUUUUGCAUAUUGAUUUAAGAUCUAUAACACAUUUUACGUACUUUAUAUCAAUUGUUCCUUAUAACGGUGAGGCAAAAUAUCAAUGCUAAUACUAUUUAUAAUUUGCUGAUGAGAAGCAGAGGCUCAGAGGUUAAAUACCUUGUACAUAUGUGUUCACAAAAGUCAAUAUCAUAAGUUGAAUUUUAUUUCUCUUGACUAAGCAUUCUUUUUUUUUUUUUUAAACCCUUUCCUUACAUCUUGGAGUCCAUACUGUGUAUUGGCUCCAAGGCAGAAGAGUGGUAAGGGCUAGGCAAUGGGGGUCAAGUGACUUGCCCAGGGUCACACAGCUGGGAAGUGUCUGAGGUCAGAUUUGAACCCAGAACCUCCUGUCUCUAGGCCCGACUCUCAAUCCACUGAGCAACCCAGCUGCCCUGACUAAGCAUUCUUUACACUUUACUUGCAUUGCCUCUUCUUUUCAAAGCUAUCUUGGCAAGGAAAGGUAGUAUAUUCUAUAUUCAAAUGAAAGAAACUCAUUCAUCUUUAUCAGUGUAGGAACAAUUUGAUAUGAAUUCCUCAAGGAGCAAAAAAUAUUUCUCCCUCCUGGAGAGAGUAAUUAAAUUUUAUUUGUGCUCUGUACUGUAUUGUUCCAAUUGAGUAGGCAUUAAUAGCUUUUGAUCAGAAUUAUAAGAGGAAAAUUACUUUUCUUCCUUUGUUUGCUAGGUAGUAGCCAAAUAUCUCAGUAACUAACUCAUAAUUGAAGUGUUUGUAAACAAGCUUGCAGUUUAAAAAUGGGGGGUGGGGGAAGAAAUUUCUAUGCAUUGACUCUUUUAAACACUAUAGCCCUUCAUAACCUAGCCCUAUCCUACCUUUCCAGUCUUCUUAUGCCUUAUUCCCUUCCAUGUAUUUAGCAGUCUAAUGAAGUUAUUUCUCCAGUAAAGUACUCCAUCUUCCUUCUCCGGGCAUUUUCGUUGGCUGUUCCUCAUGUUUGGAAUUCUUUCCCACCUUAUCUCUUUUGGUUUCCUUGGCCUCAUUCAAGGCUCAACCAAAAGUCUCAAAAGUCUCACCUUCUACAUGAAACCUUUUUUUAUGUCCCCUUUACUUUUGUCUUUUCUCUGAGAUUAUUUCUAAUUUAUCUGUGUGAAAGAGAAUUCUUUACUCUAUUUGCUAUCCUGAGUUAACCCUAACUUAAGUACCCCUACUUAGUACCUCACUAGAUUGAAGACAGGAUUAACUCUCCUUUAUCUACUUUUAAAUUGAAUCAAGAAAAGAUUAAACACCCUACUUAGUACUAGGUGAGAAGCUAGCAAGGUACUUAGAGAAUUAACACCCUUAGAAUAUUCAAUCAAUCAGAAAACUGUGAACCUUUUUGAUUCAAUCAGCCAGGAAUCUGUUAAUCUUUUUGAUGAGAACCUAACCUUCAGAAGGUGAGAAAUCAAUCCCACUGUCACUUCCCACAGAGCAGUGCUAGACAAUUUGGAAAGUGUGAUUGGCCCCUGUGAAGAGGGUAAGGGACAAGAAGACACCAUAAAAGCAAACCCCACACUCCUUCAGUGGAAGAUUGUCUUUGAGAAGAUAAUCUGAAGAGAUUGUCUUCUGGAGAUAGUUUUAGAUAGUCUUUGAGGGAGCUUCGCUGGAGACUUCGGCUUGGAUUGAGGACUUGGAGCUUGACUUCUACUUGGUCUCUUGACUCUUGAACUACUUUGUUGGGUGAGUGAAAGACUGACCCCUUUUCUGGAGAGACUAGCUUCUAUCUUGGACAGAGGCCACAUGGUUACUUACUGCCAGCCUUCCUGGUUGAGAGCUAAUUAAUCUCUUCCUGGAUUAAGCAGACAUGGAGCAAAACAUUUAGGUUGAUAGGAUAGAUAACUUCUCUACCCCCCCCCCCCAACACACACACACACAUUUCUCUUCUUUAUUGUUUCCUCUCUAUUUGUAAAUAAAUUUUAGACUUAAGAUAAAUACUGGAGACUACAUAAUUUCAUAUAAUCAUUGGCCAACAGUUAAUUUUAACCUUUACAUCCUGAAAUGAUCUUCUUGUAUGUAAUUGUUUGCAUGCUUCUUGUCUCUUCCAUUAGAUUGAGCUUCUUGAAAGCAGGAAUCGUUUCUUGCUUUUCUUUUUAUCUCAGCUAUUUUACACAGUGCCUGGUACAUGCAUUGAGGUAUUUAAUAUAUGCUGGUUGACUUGACUCCCAAGAAUGAUAUAAUCAAGCUGUAUGUAAGGUUAUAAAUGCAAAGGUCAUUGUUUGAAAGAAUUGCAGUAACAUAUAGUUUAUAUCAUGUAGGAGAAUUAAAAAUAAACAUAAGUAAGAAAAGCAACACAAAGGUCAUUAAGUUGGUGGUAGUUGUUAAACCUUCAUUUUUAUUAGCAGUCUUUGUUUUUUUUUUAUUUCCCAACUAACUAAGCAGCAAUACAAUGAUUAGGACAAUUCUGAAGGACUUACAACAAAGAAUGCAAAACCAUCCCCAGAGAAAGAACUUUUGGAGUUGUAAUGCAGAUUAAAGCAUGUUUUUCACUUUAAUUUCAGUUUUUCUACUUCCCAACUAACUUCCCUAUCCCUAACUCAGUGCCAUUAGCUGAUGAGAACCUGAAAGUGUGAUCUACAUUUUUGAUACUUAGAUGCUUUUCACAAGUAGUUUUGGUUCAAUGCUUUCUCUGGGAAGAAACGAAGCCUUUGGUUUCUUUUUGUUAGCAAAUAUAAUCAACUCCAGUGUCUUCCUGACGGUUAAUAAAAAUGAAUAUCUUAACAAUAAUACGUCCAUUUUAAUUGAACAUAAAGAGAUUUAAAAGCACAGUUUAUGCCAGUAAUAUUGCUCAAUUAUAGGUAGACUGAAUGUAGCUUGAUUAGGGAAAAACUGAGUGUGUUAAAAAUCAUUUAGUAUCACUUUGCAAAGUUUAUCUAUGCAACAGGCCUAUCUAGCAGGCUAAAAUGUGGAUUGCAAAGCCAUAGAUAUGGAAUUUUAAGGCCUUCAUUACUACGAUUAAACAGUUCUAGUUCUUCCAGGAUUAGACUUAAAAAAUGAGUUCCUUAAUUGAGAGGAUGUCCAUCAAUUGGAGUGUCUGAACAAAUUGUGGUACGUCAUGAUGAUGGAAUACUAUUGUACUGAAAGAAGUGAUGAAGAGGAUGAUUUCAGAAAGAGCUAGAAAAAACCUGCAUGAACUGAUGCAAAGUGAAGUAAGCAGAACUAAGAGAACCUUGUAUCAGUACCAGCAAUACUGUGGAAUGAUCAACUGAAAGACUUAUCAACUCAGCAAUAAAAUGAUCAGGAGAAUUCUGAAAGACUUAUGACAAAGUGUGCUAACCACCUCCAGAGAAAAAACUUUUGGAGUUAUAAUGCAGAUUAAUGCAUGUUUUUCACUUUAGUUUAUUUCAGUUUUUGUUUUGGGGUUUUGGUUUUAUAGGAGUAUUCUUUCAAAAAUUAACAAUAUGGAAAUAGAUUUUGCAUGAUAAUUCAUGUGUAACCCAGUUCAAAGUUCCUAUUUACUAUCUCUGGAAAGGGGGAGGGAAGGAGACAAUUUGAUCACAUAACUUCAGAACACUUAAUGUGGAAAAUUAUUACACAUAAUUGGUAAAAUAAAAUAGCCCUCCCCUCCAUGUGCUCCUUAAGCUCAGAUAGGUUUAUAUGAAGCUAUUAAAAGAUGUUUCAAAGCAAGGUAAAAUUAUGUUUAGUUACUUGCUGUUUUGAAUUAUGCUUCUCAAAUGUUGAUUUUCUCUUAGCUUGUUUGCCAAGAUAAUUAUUGUUAAUUUGAUAUUUCAAUAUUUUAGGGUAAAGUUUUCUGAGAAAACCCUUUCUCAAAUGAAAAUAGAAUUGUUACAUCUGAAAUUUAUUUUUAUUUGAACUCUUGCCUCUACAUUCCAGGAAUUGGUCAUUGAGUAAUAAGUAAUGUCUUCCUAAACCACCAACUUACAGUGUUGUUUGAUAUGAAGGAGCCAAUGGCAGUUUUCUUUUUAUUAAGUUCUUUGUAGUGUUAUAGGUAUGAUAACAUUAUAGUCUUAAUUUAGAUUAUUGUUAUCUUUUAUACUAAGGAACAUGAAUACAAAUUCUAGACUGCCUGCAUCAAUUUUAGGGAAAUUCAUAGAAUAACACAGAAUUAAAAGCAUUUUAACAAGGUUUUAAAAUUUUUAUUUUGAAUAGCAAAUUCUCCCUUCCCUCACCCUUUGAUAUAAGGCAAGACAUACAAUACCCAUUAUAUAUAUGAAGUCAUGUAAAACAUUUCCACAUUAGCCAUGUUGUGUAUAUGGGGCAGAAAAAUAAAGAAAAUAAAAAAAAUGCUUCAAUCUACAUUCAAAAAUUUGCCAGCACUUCUGGAAGUAGGUAGCAUUUUUCAUCAUGGAAUUGUUGUCUAAGCGAAGACUUAUUGAAAGCUCAGUGCCUUGAAGCAGAGAGUUAUAUAUUUUGGCAUAUGGAAGGAACUAAGAGACAUAGAUGAAAAAUCAGAGUGAUAUCAGAAUUAUACAAUUUAGAGGUGGAAGGAACUUAAAAAAAAACAGCUUAACUAAUUUAGAGUAUUUUUCUUUUUUUUUUUUGAGCAUUUAAUUUAAUUAAUUAAGGACACUUUUUCCAUGGUUACAUGAUUCAUGUCCUUUUCAUCCUCUCCUCUCCCCUCCCCCCCCCAUAGCCAACAUGCAAUUCCAUUGAAUUUUACAUGUGUCAUUGAUCCAGACUUAUUUCCAUAUUAUUAACAUUUGCACUAGGGUGAUCGAUUAGAGUCCGUAUCCCAAUCAUAUCCCCAUCGAACCAUGUGAUCAAGCAGUUGUUUUUCUUCUGUGUUUCUACUUCCACAGUUCUUUCUCUGGAUGUGAAUAUCAUUCUUUCUCUUAAGUCCCUCAGAAUUAUCCUGGAUCAUUGCAUUGCUGCUAGUAAGAGAAAUCCAUUAUAUUCGAUUGUGCCACAGUGUAUCCAUCUCUGUGUAUAAUGUUCUCCUGGUUUUCUCCUUUCACUCUGGAGGUUGUUCCAGUUCACAUGGAAUUCCUCUAAUUUGUUAUUUCUUUUAGCACAAUAGUAUUCCAUCACCAACAGAUACCACAAUUUAUUCAGCCAUUCCUCAAUUGAUGGACACUCCCUCAUUUUUCAAUUUUUUGCCACCACAAAGAGCAUGACUAAAUUUUUUUUUUUAACCCUUAUCUUCUGUCUUGGAGCCAAUACUGUGUAUUGGCUCCAAGGCAGAAGAGUGGUAAGGGCUAGGCAAUGGGGGUCAAGUGACUUGCCCAGGGUCACACAGCUGGGAAGUGUCUGAGACCAGAUUUGAACCUAGGACUUCCCAUCUCUAGGGCUGGUUCUCAAUCCACUGAGCUACCCAGCUGCCCCCUAUAAAUAUUUUUGUACAUGUCUUUUCCCUUAUAAUCUCUUUGGGGUAUAAAUUGUAAGAGAUCAAUGCUGUAAAAGACCUGGAAAAACAGAUGCAGUGAAUGGAAGCUUGAAGAGCUGUCCGUCAAGGAAAAAUUUCAGAGGAGAAUGUGACCUGGGGAAGGCAGUUGUACAGGGAGACACAAACUACUUCUUACUAACUGUUUUUUCUGAGACUUGAGGAGGAAGAAGAGCUAAGGAGAUUUCUCUGCCUUUUGGUUAUUGAUUUCUCUCUGAAAUAUUUGGGGUUUGACUCUGAAGACCUUUGAAAGCUGUUAACAAUAUCCCUCUUAAAAGACUAUAUAAUUUUACUUACUCAUUUUAAAAUUUACAAUAGAUCAGGGAAAAUCCUGAAAUCCCUCUCUCCUCUCCAAAUUCCCUUACCCUUCCUUCCUUAAAAUAAACCCCUGUUUCUGACUUCUCAUUACCUCAGUGUGCUUGCCCAGAAACCCCAUAUUACCGUAAACAACUUAACAAAAAGAACAACCUAAUACAAAACCCAGCAGUGGUAUGACUGGAUCAAAGGGCAGGCAGUCUUUUAGUGUCCUUUGGGCAUAGUUCCAAAUUGUUUUCCAUAAUGAUUGGAUUAAUUCACAACUCCACCAGCAAUGCAUUAGUGUCCCACUUUUGCCACAUCCCCUCCAACAUUUAUUACUUUUCUGUCAUAUUAGCUGCUUUCAUAUUAGCCAAUCUGCUAGGUGUGAGGUAGUACCUCAGAGUUAUUUUGAUUUGUAUUUCUCUAAUUUAAAGAGAUUUAGAACACUUUCAUGUGCUUAUUUGUAGUUUUGAUUUCUUUAUCUGAAAACUGCUUUUCAUGUCCCUUGCCCAUUUAUCAAUUGGGGAAAUGCCUUGAUUUUUUUGUACAAUAGAUCCUUAUCUAUUAUCUCCUUAUUAAUUUGAGUAAUUAGAACUGCAAAAAAUUGGAAAAUGAGGGGAUGCCCUUCAGUUGGGGAAGGGCUGAACAAAUUAUUGUAUAUGUUGGUGAUGGAAUACUAUUGUGCUCAAAGGAAUAAUAAAGUGGAGAAAUUCCAUGGGAACUGGAAUGGCCUCCAGGAAUUGAUGCAGAGUGAAAGGAGCAGAACCAGGAGAACAUUGUACACAGAGAUCGAUACAUUGUGGUACAACUGAAUGUAAUGGACUUCUCCAUUGGUGGCAAUGUAGUGAUCCUGAACAAUUUGGAGGAAUCUAUGAGAAAAAACAUCAUUCAGAGGAAAAACUAUGGGAGUAGAAAAACAACUGCUUGACUACAUGGGUCGAGGGGAUUUGGCUGGGGAUUUGACUCUAAAUGAACAUCCUAAUGCAAAUACCAACAACAUGGAAAUAGGUUCUGUUCAAGGACACAUGUAAGACCCAAUGAAAUUGCGCUUUGACUGCGGGAAGGGUGGGGUGAGGGAAGGGAGGGAAAUAAUGUGAUUCUUGUAACCAAGGAAUAAUGUUCUAAAUUGACUAAAUAAAUUUUAAAAAAAAUGAGAAAAAAAUAAAACAAAAUACCCUCUCCCCCCAAAAUAGAACUUUGUCAGAGGUUUUUGUUACAAAUAUUUUUUUCCAAUUUGUUGCUUCCCUUCUAAUUUUUGUUGCAUUGGUUUUGUUUGUACAAAAACUUUAAUUUAAUGUAAUCAAAAUUAUUCAUUUUACAUUUUGUGAUAUUCUCUGUCUCUUGCUUGGUCUUAAAAUCUUUCCUUUCCCAUAGAUCUGACAGGUAUACUAUUCUAUGUUUAUCUAAUUUACUUAUAGAAGUCAUUCACCCAUUCUGAAUUUAUCUUGGUGUAGGAUGUGAGUUGUUGUUCUAAACCUAAUCUCUCCCAUACUGUUUUCCAAUUUUUCCAGCAUAUAGUUUUUGAGUGUUUUUGUCCCAAAAGGUGGCUUCUUUGGGUUUGUCGUAUGCUGUUUUCCUGAGGUCAUUUACCCCAAGUCUAUUCCCCACUGAUCCUCCUUUCUGUCUCUUAGCCAGUACCAUAUUUUUUUGAUGACCAUGCUUUAUAGUAUAGUUAGAGAGAUAUAAUAAUGGUAAGCCUCCAUCCUUUACUUUUUUUGUUAUUUCCCUAGAUAGCGUUGAUCUUUUGUUCUUCCAAAUGAACUUUGUUAUAGUUUUUUCUAAUUUGAUAAAAAAGUUUCUGGGUAGUUUGAUAGGUAAUAAGUGUAUUAAUUUGGGUAGGAUUGUCAUUUUUUUAUGUUAGCUUGUCGUACCAUGAGCAAUCAAUGUUUUUCUAAUUAUUUAGAUCUAGUUUUAAUUAUGUGGAAAGUGUUUUGUAGUUGUGUUCAUAUAAUUCCUAUAUUUAGGGUGAUUUUAAAUGGAACUUCUCUUUCUCACUUUUACUGCUGAGAUGUGUUGGAAAUAUAUAGAAAUGCUGAUCAUUUAUGUGGGUCUAUUUUGUAUCCUGCAACCCUGCUAAAGUUGUUGAUUAUUUCCACUAGCUUCUAAUUUCUAAUUCUCUAGGAUUCUUUAAAAGUAGAGCAUCAUAUAUCUGCAAAGAGUGAUAGCUUCGUCUCUUCAUUACCUAUUUUAAUAUCUUCAAUUUCUUUUUCUUCUCUGAUUGUUACUGCUAGUGUUUCUGGUACAAUGUUAAAUAGCAGAGGUGAUAUUGGGUAUCCUUGUUUCACUCCCUGAUCUUAUUGGGAAGGCUUCUAAUUUAUCCCCAUUGCAGAUGAUACUUGCUGGUGUUUUAAAAUAUAUAUUGUUUAUUAUUUUUAGGAAAGGCCUUUCUAUUCCUAUACUUUCUAGUGCUUUCAAUAGGAAUGGGUGUUAUAUUUUCUCAAAGGUUUUUUCUGCAUCUAUUGAGAUAAUCAUAUGGUAUCUGUUGGUUUGGUUAUUAGUGAAGAAUCCUCUGGUUCAUUUGCUGUUUUGUUUUUGUUUAUUGAUAGUAUUCCAUUUAAGAUUUUUGCAUCUAUGUUUUUUAAGGAGAAUGGUCUGUAGUUUUCUGUUUUUGCUCUGCCUGGCUUUAGAAUCAAUACCACGUUUGUGUCAUAAAAGAAAUUUGGUAGAAUUCCUUCUUUGCUUAUUUUGUCAAAUAGUUUGUAUGGUAUUGGGAUUCGUUCUUUAAACGUUUGAUAGAAUUCACUUGUGAAUCCAUCUGGCCCUGGGGAUUUUUUCUUAGGGAGUUCUUUGAUGACUUAUUCAAUUUCUUUUUUCUGAUAUGGGACUAUUUAAGCAUUCUAUUUCUUCUUCUGUUAAUUUAGGCAAAUUAUAUUUUUGUAAAUAAUCAUCCAUAUCCCCUAGAUUGCCAUAUUUAUUGCCAUAUAAUUGGACAAAAUAGUUCUUCAUUAUUACCUUAAUUUUCUCAUCAUUAGAGAUGAGGUCGCCCUUUUCAUCUUUGAUACUGUUAAUUUGGUUUUCUUUCCUUUUUUUUAAUAGAUUAACCAGUACUUUUGUUUUUUCACAGAUCCAGCUUCUAAACUUAUUUAUCCAAUAGUUCUUUCACUUUCACUUUUAUUAAUUUCUCUUUUAAUUUUUUUUUAAUUUUUUAAUUUUUAGGUUUUCUAAUUUAGUUUUUAUCUGGGGUUUUUAAGUUUGUUCUCUUUCUGAUUUUUUAAUUUGCAUGCCCAAUUAAUGUCUGAUUUGUUAAUCUAUGCACUUGGGGUUAUAAAUUUCCCCGUACGUACUGCUUUGGCUGCAUCCCAUAGAUUUUGAUAGGAUGUGCCAUCAUUGUCAUUCUCUUCUAUGAUUUGUUCUUUAACCAACCAGUCUUGGAGAAUUAUAUUAUUUAAUUUACAAAUAAUUUUUGAUUUGCCUCUCCAUGUACCCUUAUUACUUGUUUAUUUUUAUUGCAUUGUGAUCUGAAAAGGUUGCAUUUAUUAUUUCUGCUUUUUUGCAUUUGUCUGUCAUGUUUUUAUGCUCUAGUCAUGGUCAGUCUUUGUGAAUAUACUAUGUGCUACUGAAAAGAAGGUGUAUUCUGGAAGGGACUUUUUAAAUAAUCUAGUCCAACUCUCAUUUUGUUUCUGAGGCAUCCCUGCCACAUACAGACAGAACAACUUACAAUGUAUACUUAGCCCUCAACUCUCACAGGUAUAAUGCUCUUGGAACAUUAUGCAAAAAAAAAUUAUGCAAAAAUAAAAAAUGUGAGUUAAUAUAUUCAAUUUAUAGGAAAUAGGAGAUUAGGUUUUCAUGACCAUCAACAUCUGUAAUCUUUUGCUAAAGAUGACUGAAAAAAUAUUUUUCCACAUAUAACUUUUAAUAACAAAACUGAUUGAUGUUAUGCAAUAUGCCUACAUAGAACUUAUGAAGUAAUCCAAAAAUACAGUAUACAAAAUGAAGUUGGUAACAUGCAAAACAUUUUCUGAUUUGUAAUUCCCUAGAAUUCUAUAACCUUUGGUACUAAUGUCUCAAUUAAAAACAAAACAAAAUAUUUCAGACAAUAUUCACUUUUCCUUAAGCAUAAACUCUAUAGUACCAUUGAUACUAUACAGCAAAUAUAAUUCUUAAAAUUAAGACAUUUUUUAAACCUGGUAUAACAGUCAAAGGAAUUGUAGAGGAUUGAAAAAGGUACAAGGGAUAAGGAAGGUUUUGUAACAGGAAAUGGAGGAGUUGAAGGGUUAGAGGUUAUAUUGAUGCUGGUGAGGAAAAAGGAGAGUGAUGCCCCCUGCUGAGAGCCUGUCUUUGAAAAAUGGGGUUCCUGGGAAAUGGGCCCACCAUGUAGCCUGAGGGGAUGCCUUUUCUGUUGAUUGAUGUUGAAGAUACCCCAGAGCAGGUAAGCAUGGACCCUCCUGAGGGACAAGCCUCCCCCCAGACCCAGGCCAUCCAGCAGAGAUCCAGUAAGGACCAUUUAUGGUUGAAUGGCUUUCCUUAGGUUCUUCCCCCUCUAUAUUCCCCUGAAAUGAUAGUCCUCUGAUCUAACUGUGCGUUAUUUAACUCAAGAUGAAUUUAAUAACAAGUUUGGAUUGGAAAGGUAUCAGGGUAGAGGGAAGAGGGGUUCCCCAAUUCUUUGCUACAGAUUGGUUGAGUCUCUCUCAGCUUUUGAGCUGAAGCCAGGCCUUGCAGGCUUGUGGAGGGUUUCUUCUAUUCCUAUCUAUGCUAUAUGUGAUAGCUUUCUUAAGUUCAAAGUCUUAGCAGUAGACAGCAAGAAGUAGAAACGGUUCUGACUUUCAGAUCUGGUUGGGCCUGUCUCUUCGGGCUAAUGUUCUAAAGACCAGCCUUUCAGUUUAAACUGCUCCCCUUAAAUCCUUUUGUUUGAUGACACAAUCACCAGAAUUCAGGUAGAGCACACAGUGGGGAAAAAUUCAGGAAUAGAGAUUCUUCUAUCCAGAUACAGGGAAGAGAGCACUCCUUCCAGUCUGAGGGCCAGGAAAGGGAGUCCUCAAGAGCAAUUGUCACUCUCCAAGUUGACUCUACUCCCCCCAACUGUCAUCGUUGUCAGUAUCUUUACUCCAACAUUCCAGCUGCUGUUUCCUCCACUCAGUGGCAGCAAGGCCCAAAACUUGAUUCAGUUUUCCUUUCCACACUGGAUAUUACCUUCCACUGUGUCAGAUGGUGACAGUGUACUGCAUACUGUUUUGUUGUAAACCUCUUUCCCUUGGCUGCCUUCUGAAAACCACAAAUGAGGUUGCUGGGACUUCAUUGCUGCUGUUGCAAGGUGCUGAGACUGACUAGGUCUCUGUAUCACUAUAUAGCCCAAAGGACUUGCACUAUGAUUUGGGUGCAUAAUUGUAAUCCAAAACUUCAAUUUUAAAUGAAAAAAAAAAAAAGAAAAAGAAAAUAUGCAACAUAUGCAUGGGGAUCUUUUUAUAACAGAAGGGUAAAAUAGGACCUGUGUAGCAUCUAGUAGCAUACCAGCAGUUCUACAAACUUCAGCACAUUGUGUUUCUCAUUUUUUCCCUACUACACAUAGCUAUGAACAUGCACAGUUGCCAAAUGUGAAAGUGAAAAUGAGGUUACUAAUAAAAUCAUGCAAAUACUUCAAGCUGAAAAAGUUAAAUGUGUGACUGAUGAGGAUCAACAAUAUUAACAGACCCAAGGUCACAAUCUGGCUCUCUGAAUACUACAUUCACUUCUGUUGAAUUUCAGCAUGUACCUGAAUUAUUAGAAAAGAACAAGUGUUCACAUUUAAGUUUUGAGAUGUAUGAAAAAUUCCUAAUUUACUCAAACAAGAUGUAUUUUCUCUCCCUCCCCCAACUGUGUUUUCUUUCUUAAAAAACUUCCCCAUUACAUGUAAAAACAAUUUUUUAAACAUACUUUUCUUUUUGAGUUCCAAAUUCUUUCCUCUAACCUGCUCUCUCCCCUCCCUGAGACAAGUCUAUUACUGAUUUUACAUGUAUAAUCAAGUAAAACAUUUUUUUUGUAUUAGUCAUUUUAUUGAAGACUUCUCAAAUGGGGAAAAAAAGAUAAAGAAAAUUAAAUGUAGUAUAUGUCAGUCUGCAUUCAGAUUCUUAGUUCUUUGUCAGAGAGCAACUCGAAUGUUUUAUCAUGAGUCUUUGGGAAUGUCUUGGAUCACUAUAUUGCUGAGUAUAACUAGAUCACUCACAGUUGUUGAUCAAGAAAUAUUGCUGUCAAUAUAUAUAUAGUAUUCUUCUGGUUCUGCUUCCUUCAUUUUGUAUUGGUUCAUAUACGUCUUUACAGAUUUUCCUGAAUUCAUCAUACUUGUCAUUUCUUCUGGCACAGUAGCAUCCCAUAACUAUCAUGUACUAUAACUUGUUCAGCCAUUCUCCAGUGAUGGACAACUCCUUUUUCCAAAUCUUUGCUACCAUUAAAAUUUUUUUUUUUCCUUUGGGAUACAGAUCUAGUAAUGAUAUACAAUUUUACUGUUCUUUGAACAUAGUUCCAAGUUGCUGUCCAGAAUGGUUGGAAACCCCCCCACCCCCCACCCCCCCAAGCAGGCCACAUUCUCUUCAACAUUUAUUUCUUUUUUGUGUGAGGUAGUAUUGCAGAAUUGUUUUAAUUUCAAGUGUAAGGAUUAAAUUCAAUGGUUGGACAAUUUUAUGAAGGUAUGUGGUUGCCAAUAUUUAUUAUAGUAGUCUAUGUAAAUUGGUGUCCUUUUUUUCUCUGGCAGUUAUACAGGCAUGUUUUAAAUUAUAAGUUCUGCACCUUAAGCACUUAUGUUUGAGGACAAUGAAGCUGACCACACAGUAGCAAAUUCUGUGACUACUGCAGCUCCAGUGUAACAUAUACCAUCCCUUAUGAAAGAAGACCCAUCAGUGAAUAAACUAGAUCUGGAUUGUCUAAAGGGCUGUCCAAUAGAUUUUCUUAAGGCUUUUCGGCCAUGGACACUAGUUUCACAGCUAUGUGGUAGUUUUCCUGAAACUGGCAAAUCAAGAAGCACGAUGACUGGGUUAAGAGUUGUAUAAUGUUUUAAAGUGAUGUUUUUGUUAUUCCAUAUCAGGUGAGUCUUUGAUCAGAGAAUUCCUGUGUUCUAUGCCUGACCAGCAAUGCUUCUACUUCGUGUGGGCAUAUAAUUGUCAAUGGCCAUCCCAGUAUUAAUUCAGCUGCCUUAGUUACUAAAAAAGCUGUGGCAGCUACGCCUCUUAAGGCAUGGUGGUGCUCUGUAAGCUACUGGGUCUAGCUGGACCGAGUAAUAAACAACCAGACCAGGAACUGGACCCAGACUUUGGCUUAAAACUCCUGAAACCACCCCUUUCUAUUCAUGUAUGUAUAAAGUGAAUGGCUUAUUAUCAUCUGGGAUCUCUAGAGCAGGGGCAGACUAGGUAACUUAUUUUGAAUCUGACAGAGGUGACAAAUGUUUUGGUUCUAACCUAAGUGGUUCAGUGACUGAAUCUUUUGUUAGUGCUUUAAGGGGUUUAUUGAUUUCCCCAUAGCAAGGGAUUCAUUGUCUACAAAAACCUGUUACUCCUAAGAUUGCUCUUAACUGUUUCUUAGUAGUGGGAGUGUUUAAUUUUUUAAUAUCUUCAAUGUGCUUAGGAGAAAUAGAACAGGAAUCAACAGUUAAAAUGAACCCUAAAUAUUCCACUUUGAGGAGAAACCAUUGAACCUUUGCCAUUUCCAGGGUAAUUCCCUCAGUUGCCUCUUGAUACUGAGGAAUGGAAGGAGGUAGGGAAUUUUUUGUCUUAAUCUGAAUUGGAUCAGAUGAUUUAUAUAGGCUUACAUUGGAAAAAGAUAUGACCCAACAAGACUCGGGUAUAUCAGCUGGUAUUUCAAAGUUGGGAGGCUCUUUCACCUCUCAGCUCUCUGAGAGAAGAACAGGGAGCAAAUUUAAAGAUUCCUCCAGUAACUGUAGUGACAUAGAGCCAUCUGGAGCACAUGUUAUUGUUGCUUUUAGUUUACAUAAUAGGUCUCUUCCCAGCAGAUUUGUGGAGGACCCAGGCAUUAAUAGGAAAGAAUGUUCUACAGAUAAGGGUCCCACGGAUACCAUUUGAGGAGAAAGUUUUGGGACCUUUUGAGGUGUUCCUGAUAUACAUACUACAUUUAUAGAUCCAGUGGGAUCACAUUUUGCAUCUGCUUUAUUCACCAGAACUAAUCUACAUGCUCCAGUGUCUAAAAGGCAGUCAUAAUAUAUGAGUUUCCUCUUUUUAGGGUUACAUGUGGUUCAUCACUAUUUGAGGGGGGAAUGGAUAGGGAUAAUUGGCAUUAAAGCAUCAGGUUCUGGAAAAUCAAAGGUUUUACUUUCUAAUUCUAAGGUGCCCCCCCAUCGUACCUUCAUAAAGAUACUUGGGCAUUUCUCUGGGAUCCUCCAUGCUGAGGGGGAUUUUCACCCUGUGCAUAACAUGGACGAGUUCUACUUUGGAGUUAUUGUUGUAGUGUAUUUUGUUGUGUAUCAUUAUUUUCCUUAUUUCAGGUAUAAUUUCUGUAAUUAUUUCUAUUAUAAUUUUGAUAAUUGUUAUUUCUGAAAUUACCACUAUUCCUAAAAUUCAUGUUAUUGAAUACCUGAUUCCAAUUUAUGCAAUUUGACCAUUAAAUGCCCUUUUCUUCUACAUAAAUAAUAUUUUGGUGGUUUAUUUGUGGAUUCUUACAAAGGUGCUAGGGUCACUCUAUGAUCUUUUCUUUCCAGUUUUUAAAAAAUUUUUUAUUUUCUCCUUAAUUCCUCCAUUGACUCCCUGUCUUCAUUUUUUCUCUAGUGGCUGUCAAAUACGUAUAUAGCUACUCUCCUUAAUUCUUCAAGUUCCAUACUGGACCACUUUGGGCAGUUGAUUCUAAAAUAAUCUUUUACAACUUUAUAGCAGUUCUGUCCAAACUGCUGUCCAAUAUAUCUAACAUCCCUUUCUUGGGAAAGGUCCAGUUCUAUAUAUCUACCUCCCAGCUCAAAUGAGUCUGUUCAUAAAUUGGGAGGGAAUUUUUGUUGAUUUUUUUUGUCUUAAGUUUUCAAAUUUAGUCCAUGUUCCUGGUCUGCCGGAGCAAGCUGUCAUUGCUGUUAAUAAUGCCUCUCUAGACUGGCAUAAUCUUAUGUAAUCCUGUUUAUUAUUGGGGUUCCAUUUUGGGUCAUCAUGUGGCCAGUUAAUUGCUUUUCUUCCUUAGUCCUGAUUAAUGAGAAAGAUAAUCUUAUUUUUCUCUCUUUCUGUCAAAAAGGCUUGUUGGUUUUCAAUACCCACCCAAACAGGGUCAUAUGUGAGGAAGAUACCCUCUAGUUUUUUUUUUUUUUUUAAUUUUUUUAUUACUACAAUUGGGUUGUCUUCAAAAGAAGGGCUGUCUUGUUUGAAUCUUUGAAUGUCCUGGGGGUGGGGGUGGGGGUGGGGGUGAAUGGUGAAUAGUGUCUAAGGGAAACCAUAUCCCCACUCCUAUUAAAGGUGGGUACCAACUUCAGGGGAUAUAGGAUUUUAGCCAGAUUAUUUUUUAUUCCUAUCUGUAGGCUUGAUGUUUGGUUUUCAGUGGGUAGGUAAGCUGAGAGGGAGGGGUUCUGGAUAGGGAGGGGAAGAGGGAUAAAAGGUGGGAGUGGGGGGGUGAAUUGGGCAGGGGGGAGAGUGGAUGGAUGAGUUGGGGAGGGGGUUGAAGUAGAGACAGGGGUGAAGGAGAGGGAUAGUUUGGAGAGGGGAGAAGGGGGCUGGGGCAGAGGAGAAAGGAUAGGAGGUAGCAAGGGUGGGGGAAGGGGUGGAUUGAAUAGGAGGAACAAGAUUAUGUAGGGUGGGGUGGGACAGAAUUUCAAUCAGCUCCAAUAAUGAGGAAGUGUGGAGAGAUUUAUCCUGGAGGAUUUUUAAGUUUCUUCUAAUGUUUUUCAUAAAAGUUUUUAUCUCCCACAAAGUAUUCUUCAUACUUUCAUUUUGAGUUUUUAAUUCUGCUCUGAGUGCAAUAUGUAGAGUAUAGGUAGAAUAGGUAAAAUAUGUAGAGUAACAAGCCUAUUUCUCUGGCUAAAUAGAGAUACUGUGAAAUUUCCUCUGAACAUAUGAGCCAUUUUAAACUGAGAAAAGACAACAACAUGUUUCCAACUCGAUUUAUAUUGGUAAAAUCCAUGUUAACUGGUAAUAAUUUACAUAUUGGAUUCGUUGUAAUUUUUUCUUUUUUACCAGUAGAUGGUAUUGGCGAGGGUUUAGGGUCAGAGUUUGGUAUUUUCAAGGAUUUUUCAAGUAGUUCUAUAGCAGAAUACAGGCAAGCCCUUAAUCAUCUAGCCUCAGGCUAAAAAGGAUUAACAAAGGAUUCUAAGUGAUUUUGAAAAACAAAAAUUUGAACUUCUUAGUUGAAAAUUAUAGAAACAAAAAAAAGGCUGAUUUGAUAAAAGGACAAUUUAAGAAAAGUGAAGAAAAUUUGAGGGUGGUCACAAACUUUGUGGUUGCCAUAAAUGUAAGUGUUGAUUUUAAUGGUUGGACAAUAAUUUUAUGAAAUUAUGUGGUCUCCAAUACUUUUUAUAUCUCAAGUCAGAAAUUUAAUUACAAAUAUUUACAAAAUGGAGAGGAAACAAUAAAGUAGAGAAAUGUGAAGGUUAGAAAGGUUAUCUAUCCUAUCAACCUAAAUGUUUACUCCAGGUCUGCUUAAUCCAGGCAGAGAUUAAUUAGUUCUCAAUCAGGCAGGCUAAUGGUGAGUAACCAUGAGGCCUCCUCCAGGAUGGAAGCUAGUCUCUUAGGAAAUUUGGAAAGAAGUCAGUCUUUCACUCACCCAAUGAAGUAGUCCAGGAGUCAGAGUCUAAGUUAAAGCUGAGCUCCAGGCCCAUGAUCAAAGCCGCAAUCUCCAGCAAAGCUCCCUCAAAGAUUCCCUAGUUAGAAGACUGUCUCCAGAAGACAAUCUCUUCAGACUAUUUUCUCAAAGACCAUCUCCUCUGACGGAGUUUGGGGCUUGCUUUUAUGGUGACUUCUUGACCCUUCCCCUCUUCACAGGGGCCAAUCACAAUUUCCAAAUUGUCUAGCACUGCCCAGUGGGCAGUGUCUGUGGGAUUGACUUCUCACCUUCUGAAGGUUAAGUUCUCAUGUAAGGGUUUGAAUUUUCUAAAUCUCAUCUUUUGGAGAGACCUGAUUGAGUUUCUGAGGGUGUGAAUUCACUAAGUGGUUUGCAAACUCCUCCUCGUUCAAGCUUGUGUUGGUUCAUUUAAAAGGUGGACUAAGGAGUUAAUCAAGUUAGUGUUAGCUCAGGAUAGACAAUAGAGUAUUCUCUUUCACACAAGUAGGAUAUAUUUUUUUUGUUUUAGAGGUUAGUACAUUUGUUGUUAAAACUAUUUUCAAAUUGUAUUACUCUGUCACUGCAGAUUGGAAUGGAGGAAGUUGGCAGGUAGAUGAUGAUCCUGUUAAAAUGUUAUAUAAUUUGGAAAGGGGAAGGAAAGUAAUACUGUGGGAAAACAGUACAUAUAAAAUUAUUGAGUUUAUUUAACAGAGAAGAGAUGAAAGGAAGGAGAAUGGGAAAGGGUGAAAUCUAAAUGUUUUACUCACUAAAUCAAGACUAUCUAACUCACACUAAACUAAAACAUAACUUCCUAAGGGCAAAUCCAACAGGGAAUUAAAAUCUCACAGAGAAUCCUUAGUAAGUCAGAUAUUGAAGUCUCAGGUGUGAUGUCCACAGAUGGUCUCAUCAAAGUAAGAAGGUCAUCUCUCCAGACACUAUCCAGCAGAAGACUGAAGAUAACUUCUCAACACAACCUGUAGAUAUUCAAAAGCCCAGUGGCUUGAUGGAUGGGUUUCAAGAUGUCUCAGUCACAUACAUUUUCUACUUCAUCUCCCAGGUUCAGAGUGACAGUUGGGAAUUGUUCCUAGUUCUGACUCAACCAGGCUUAAGAAGAUUCUGGUCUCAAGCCCCUGUCAAUCAUCCCUUGCAACCUUUACUUCCCAUUGCUAUGAUCCUAUAUGUUUUUUUAAAGUUUUAUAUUUGCUGAUACCUUUUUUUAAAGGGAUGGGAACAGUUCAAUAAAAACUAAUGAAUAUAUCAGUUGCUUCCAGAAUAUUCAGUAUUCCACUGGCAUUGUUUCCUAUUUUUGCAAAGGAAGGGACAUGUAUUCUCAAUUCUUCUCUGGGGUCAAACUUGGACAUUAUGUUUAUGUUGACUUUUGGGUUCUGAUUCUGUCUAUGUUCUUUUCAUUGGGCAUACUCUUCUUGAUUCUACUUGUUUUUAUUCUGUAUUAGUUCAUUUAAAUCUUCCCAUGUUUUUUGAAUUCUGAAUAUCUUACAAUGUAGUUAUAUUAUACUCUUUUGCCACAAUUCAUUUUGCUUUUCCUGUGAAAGUGUGUCUUUUUUUUCCCGCUACCGCAAAAAAAGUUGUUAUAAAUCAUUUGGGUUGUGCAUGUAUAUACAUUAUCUGUGUCUUCAUAUUUGUCAUUGGCUUCUUUGGUAUAUAUGCACAACAACCCAGCUGAACUUUCUAGCUGAACUAUGAAUAUACUGUUCUCUAAACAACUCUGAAAUAGUGCCUCAAAUCAAAAUUUGGAAUAGCAAAGCCAACAAAAAGUCGGUGGUGUUAAGACAUCUUUCCCGCCAAAGGCAACUUAAAAGGUCUAGGGAGGUCUAUGACACUAUAGUGCUGGUAGGCACCAGUCUAGAAUGGAGUAGUCACACUAACACUAGCAGUGGUAGGCCGUGAAAGUAGCUGUGGCAAUAGCAGCUUCAGGAGCUCUCAUUCCAGAGUAUAUAAAGGGGUAAGAGAAUUGGUCAGAAAGAGAUUAUAGGGGACUCUUGGAAACCACCAUGAAAGCAUUGAAAACUAAAAACUGCAGCACAAAAGAAUCUGAACUUUGGUUCAUUGUCUCCCCAGCCAAAGUGCACAGAGUCAAUUUUAACAAAUUUCAAAGGCAAGAAUAGGUUUAUAAAA